UGUUGGCUUGUAUUUCUCUCUAACAAUUUAAAUCACCAGCUUGCUUCAUCCAUCUAUAAAUAAGGGUCUUCUUCAGUUUCAUAAAUGCAUAGAAAAUUAACAAGCUCAAAUUCCUUCUUUUCAUAUUCAUCUCUUUCAUUUUGAAUUGCAACUUUAUCCUGCCUAAAUUCCUCAACAAUGAACCACCCAUCAGGACAGCCUCAAAAUGAACUUCCUUGGUCCGCCGGAUUCUGAGAUUGUUGCUCUGACCUGAAAACUUGUAACCCUUUCUUCUUUCUUCAAUAUCAGUUGUGUCUUUUUAAUUAUAUGAAUUAGUUUAUCAAUUAAAUAUAUGGACAUUUCAGGUUGCAUUUCAUACUGGUGCCCAUGCAUCACCUUUGGCCAGAUUGCUGAGAUUGUUGAUAAAGGGUCGACUUGUAAGUUAUUAAUUUCUAAAUUGAAAUCUUAUCAUCUUAGGUUUGCAGACAUAUAUAUAUAUAUUUAAAGAGAUAUUAUGUAAUUAAUAAUAAUGUUGAAAAACACUGUUGGAUGGUGCAGCAUGUGGGGCAAGUGGGGCACUAUACACAUUAAUAAUGUUCAUCACCGGGUGUGGGUGCUUAUAUUCUUGCUGCUACCGAUCCAAACUGAGAAAGCAGUAUAACUUGAAAGGAGGCGAUUGUGGCGAUUGCAUGCGUCAUUUCUGCUGCGAGCCUUGUGCCUUGACACAAGAGUAUCGUGAGCUCCAGAACCGUGGAUUCGACAUGUCUAUCGGUAUGUCUACAUACCAAUAUUAUACCCCUUUUAAUUAUUCUUAAUAUAACUUCAAGUAUAUUAAUUGAGUAGCUGUAAACAAAUAUCUCCGAAUAAAUAUGUUGGUAAUGAUGAGAUAAAUUAUUGUUUGAGGUCAUUAAUUUUGUGGGGGUAUAUUUAUAUAUGCAGGUUGGCAUGCAAAUGUGGAGAAGAACCCAGGGCUGGCAAUGGCUCCAGCGGUAGAAAAAGGCAUGAGCAAAUAGAUGAUGAUGAUGAUGAGACCACUGCAUUAAUAUCAUCUUUACAUGUAACACUUAAUUCCUUGGCUUUCCAUAAUUGGUUGAUUGUACGGCUUGCCAAUUGAAUUUCAAGUUAUGUAUGUUUGUGAUUGUCAAAUAUAUUAAUAAAAAGUGUUACUAUUCAUGUUAGAUCUUCAUGAAUAAGAAUGAGAAUCGAAAAUAACUUGUAAUAUUGUGUGUGCAUGUUUGGUAUUUAGGUGAAAUACUUAGAAAGAGAGGUUGGAUUAAAUUAAUUUUUUAUUAUCAAAAUGGAUGAUUUUAAUUUUUAUAUUAAUAAAAAGAAUUAAAUAAAAUUAAUAUUUAUUGUUUUAGAAAAUGACAUCAAAUUAUUGUUUUUUAUAGUUCAAUCCAAAUAAAAUAUCUACAAAAUCAUUAAAAACUUUUAAAAUGUGACUUUGUUAAAUAGUAAAUAGCAUUUUUUUAAAAGGGUUCAUAUAUAUCGUGAUACCUAAAGUUGGCAACUUCUACUUAGUAUCUAAAUCGGUACAUAAACUUGAAAAUUGUAAGUCAACUUCGUAUUUUUAUAAGUAUGAUGAUGUUGGUGUAGUGUGAGGAAGAAGACUUGAAUGGGUUUGAUUAUUUUUAAUAAUACAGGAAUUUACAUAUUAUAAGUAAAUAGACACUCACAUUCUUUAUGUAUUAUAAGGAAGAAGACUAAGUCGAUCUACUUUGUAAUCUCAUCAAUCUUAAUUUUCUCAAUUGUUAAGGGAGUUCAAAUGAAAUACAAAAUUUUGGUAAAAAAAAGUAUCCAAUUUUGUGAAUAAAAAAUAUAUGGUAAAAAAGAUUUGGUAUCGAUACUUCGGCGCGGGUAUCAAUACUCGAUACAUUGCUUUUGGUUGGAAAGUAGUGUCUGGAACGGCCAUGGGAUGUGUUGUUUUCCAAACCGGUAAGGCGAAAAGGUUUGUGAAUUUGGUUGAAGACCAACAUGAGAAGAGGCGAAGAAGAAAACCAAAAUAUAGCAAUCGCAUCAAUGGAUGAAGAAGGAUCUAGUUGGUGCAAAUGAAGUUAAAGCAUUUGUGCUGUGUCUUCAUAAUUUCUUGUUUAGUAGUCUGUCAGAAAGUUUUUCCUAUGGUGAAAAGUUGCAUUGGUAUGUGUCUGUCUUUAUGAUUGUACCAAUUCCUCUGUAUUUCAUUGCAUUUCGUACUAUUUGUAAGGGUUUAGUUCGAGUGUAACAUCUUGUAUGGUGCAACUAUGUAUGUCUUCUUUCUUGAUUAUUGAAAUUAUAAUCAAAAUUAAUACAUGUUCUUUUUAUUAGCUUAAGGGCGUAAAAACACUUCAAAAUUUUCAAAAAAUAAAAUAAAAUUUUAAGUCCCUCUUUUUUUUACACUCAAUUGAAAUUUUUAAAAUGUAUCAAAAAUAUCUUUACAGUUCUUCAAAAAAAAAAACAAUUAAACCCCUAUUUUUUUUCCGCUCAAUUGGGUACUUGAACUUUCAUAAUGCAUCAAAAAUGCCUUAAAUUUUUUUCAAAAAAGCAAUUAAGCCCCUACUCUUAUUAAAAAUUAGAAAAAAAUCAUAAAAAUAAUAAAUUUUAGAAAAAAUUAUUAAAUUUUAAUAAAAAUUUAAAAUUUUAUUAAAAAUUAGAAUUUUUUUUUAGAAAAAUCGUCAAAAAAUAAAAAAUUAUAAAAUCCAUCAAAAAGUUUUAACAAUUAACUUUAACUAUUGAUCGUUAAAGUUAACGACCUCUAGUUUUUUCAAUUAAAGUCAUUAUGUGUCGCAACUCAACGUGACAUGUAGCGAAAAUAGAUAAAAAAGUAAAAAUCAAUAAAAGUUAUAGAAAAAUUAUAAAAUAUUUCUUUUGGUAGAAUAAUUUUUAUAAAUUUUUUUUACAAAAUUUAUAUUUCUUUACAUUUUGUAUAAUUUUCUUAUAACUUUAUAAAAUUUUAUAAAUUUUUAUAUUUCUAUAUAUUUUAAAAUUUUUUAAAAUUUUUAUAAAAUUUUACAAUUUUUAUAUAUUUUUAAUAAAUUUUUAAUAUUUGAUUUUUUAUUAAAAUUUAAUAAUAUUAUAGAUUUUAUUGAUUUUAAUUUUUUAUCUAAUUUUUAAUAAAAUUAGGGGGUUAAUUGCUUUUUUUUUAAGUUUGAGGGUCUUUUUGAUGCAUUUUGAAAGUUCAAGUACCCAAUUGACUGCAAAACAAAAAGAAAAAAAGUAGGGGCUUAAUUGCUUUUUUUGAAAAUGUUUGAGGGCUUUUUUGAUGUAUUUUGAAAGUUCAAGUACCCAAAUGAGUGCAUAAAAAGAACAGGGGUUUAGUUGCUAUUUUGAAAAAGUUUGAGGGCUUUUUGCACCUUUAAACCUCUUUUCUUUUUCUAAAUUUAAUUUAGAACCAACUUUGUGUAAAGACUUGGGAAAUUUAAUUAGCAAAAUUUCUUUCCAUGUAAAAAUUUCCCCUAUUUCUUGUUUGAAUUUAAAGCAAUACAAUAUUUUUCUAGCAAAUAAUAGAAAAUGACAGUCAAUUAAUUCCAGCAAUACAAAAUUUCCAGUCUGGUGGAAAACAGCUAGGGACCAAAUUUUUAAAGUGUUGUUUACUACACACUUAGGGACCAUAUAUGUAUAUAUAUAUAUUCCAGUCUGGGUCUUUGUCGUGUUUUGUUGGUUGGCUAUGGCCUUCUUGUUGUUUCAUGGCCACUGCCCGUGAAUUAAGUCAUAUGUGGCCUUGUUUGCUAGACCUUAGUUGCUAAGUUAAAGGGAGUGAAUAGAGCACCAUAUUUCUUCUUCUGCGUGGAAAAUAAGUUGGCAUUAUGCCAAAUUCCACAUUCAUACAUAGAAAGGAAGCAAGGCCAAGUCAUUAUACUUUGUAAUCUCAUCAAUUCUAAUUAUUUCACUUCUUCAUUCUUUAGGGAGUUCAAGUGAAAUACAAAUUUUUCCACAUCCAAUCUCAUAAAUAAUCCGUCUUUGAACUUUCACAAAAAAAUAUUAAAUACCCAUUCACUUUAAUUCUACUAUUCUUAAAUCAUUCAAGUUUUGUGGAAAAUAUGCUUCUUGGAUAAAAUUAUUCAACACACAUGCCUUGAAUUUUAUGCAAUAAAAUAAAUCAAUAUAGGCCACACAUGCUUUGAAUAUUUAAGUAGUCCACAAUUUUGUUCGUUUGUGUGCAAAAUUCUACAUUGCUUGACAGCCAUACAUUCUAAGUAAAUAGACACCCACAUUGUUUACGUAUUAUGAAGAAGAAGACUAAGUCAGUCUACUUUGUAAUCUCAUCAAUCUUAAUUUUCUCAGUUAUUUAGGGAGUUCAAAUGAAAUACAAAAUUUUGGGAAAAAAAAUGUAUCCAAUUUUGUGAAUGAAAAAUAUAUGGUAAAAAGGAUUUGGUAUGGAUACUUCGGCUCGGGUAUCAAUACUCAGGGUAAGUUUAUCGAUACAUUGCUUUUGGUUGGAAAGUGGUGUUGAUAGGUGAUGACUAAAAUUUGAUAAAUUUGAAAAGUACAUGAAAUUUAACGAUUAUUGUUUGGUGAUGACUAAAAUUUUAAAAUUUGAAAAGUACAUGAACUAAAAAUGACCAAAUUAAAGUAUAAAGAUUAAGUCCACAACUUUUGCAAAGUACAAGGACUAAUAGCAGAAAUUAACCUAAAUUUCAUAUGGGUCAAUUACAAAAAUAAUCGCUAAACUAUUCCUUUGGUUCUAUUCUAGUCACUCAACUAUAGAGGUGCUCAUGGGCUGAGCCAGGUCAAGCCUAAGUAUGAUAUUAAUGUAUUUUAUACUUGCUCAAGCUUGGCUCGGCCUGAAAUAUGAGCUUAAAAUUUUGCCUGAACUCAUCCAUAUUUGCAAAAGACUAACCCAAGCUCAUUUUAAGCAUGCCUAUAUAAUUUUUAAUUUUUUUUAAAUAUUUAUAUUAUAUUAUAUUAAUUAAUAAUUUAAACAUUUUUUAUUUAUUAAAAUUUUUUAUAGUCAUUUUAACAUUAUUUUAAUGUUUACAUUAUAGUAUUAUUAUAUAUUUAGUAUAAGUAUUUUUUUAAUAUGUUCUAAUUUAUAUAAUAUAAAGUAUUAUACACUUAAAAACGGGCCGGGCUGGGCUUGAGCUUUAGUUGUUACUCAACUAUUAAUUUUUUCGAUUUAGUUGUUAACCUUUUCAAAAGUAAAUAUUUUAGUCAGUCUCCUAUUAGUUGUUGUUAAAUGAGUGACGGAAAGCUAAUGUGAGCUUUUUUUAUUAGUCUAAUAACAAAUUUAGCCCUCCAAUGUUUACACAUUCUAUCAAUUUGAUCGUAAAUAUAAAAAAAAAAUCAACAAAUUUAGCCCUGAAUAUUAACAAAACUUGUCAUUUUAGUUCAAAUUCUAAAAAAUUUAAUAAAUUUAACCUUUAAUAUUUUCAAAAAAAUAGCAAUUUAGUUCUAAUUCUAAAAAUUUUAAUAUAUAUAUUUAAAAAAAUAUUUCUAAUCCUCUGUCUCACCCUUUGAUUUUUUAGAUGAUCUAAAAUCAAAAUAUAUCAUUAUGUCUUUUUGUUUUAAUGCUAAAAGAGAUAAAAAAAAAUGGAAAGCUAAAAUGGCUUUUCGUUUGUGAAGUUAAAAAAUGCCAAAUAAAUUAUUAUGUCUUUUUAGUUUUAAUUUUUUACUUGAUUAAAAGAGAAAUAAUUAACGAAUGAAAAAUAAUUAUUCACAAAUAAAUUUAUCAGAAUUUAUAACAAAUGAGAUUUUAAAUUUGAAUUUAUAAAUCAAAAUUUAUAUAUAUAUAUAUAUAUAUAAAAGAAAACACAUUUUUAUGAAAUAUAAGAUUUUGUUAAAAGAAAGAGCAUAUAAAAGCAUACACGUUUUUAUGAAAUACAAGAUUUUGCUAAAAGAAAAAGCAUCCAAUUUUAAGAAUGAAAAAUAUAUGGUAAAAGCAUCCAUAACUUUUCAAUAUAAAAGAAAAAAAAGACUAACACCAAUGUUGUGGUAUUAUUUGUUGCCUAUAAAUACCAUUCCUAUCCUUCUUCUUCCUCUACAAACAUAACAUGGCCCCCUAUCUCUUUCUCUGCCUAUUCCUCUUCUUUCCCCAUCUUUAUGCUUCUUUUUCUUCUUCAGAAUCUCACUCCUGCUCUUCACUAAUCCAGUUUAAGGACUCUUUUUCCAUCACAAAGGAUGCUUCCUGGUAUUUCGAUUAUAUUACUGGCCUUAAAUCUUAUCCCAAGACAAAUUCAUGGAAGGAGGGUACAGAUUGCUGCUCAUGGGAUGGGGUCACUUGUGACCACCUAAAUGCUCAUGUUAUUGCCCUUGACUUGAGCUGCAGUUGGCUAUAUGGCACCUUCCCUUCCAAUACCACUCUCUUCCUUCUUCCUCACCUUCAAAAACUCAACCUUGCCUACAAUCAUUUUAAUUCUUCCAAAAUUCCAUCCGAGUUCGGUCGGUUUACAAGCCUAUUCUACCUCAACCUUUCCAAUACAUGGUUUUCAGAAGUCCCAUCCCAAGUCUCCCACCUGUCAAAAUUGGUUUCACUUGAUCUCUCCUCUCGGAUUGAUUACUCUGGGCAAGUUACAAUUGACAAACAUGCUCUGGAGGGACUUGUUCACAACCUAACCGAGGUCAGACAUCUGUUUUUGGAUGGAAUCAACAUGACUUCUGUUAAUGCUCAUGUCUUCAUGAAUCUAUCCUCUUCUCUAAGGUCUCUCAGUCUUGCUUUUUGUGAUUUGCAAGGAAAAUUCCCAAAAAACAUUUUUGAUUUGCAAAACCUCAAUCUCCUCAACUUGAGAUACAACCAAUUGAGUGGACAAAUUCCAAGAUCAUUGGGGAACCUCUUGCAACUCACUCAUUUACACUUGUCGGGGAACCAAUUGAGUGGACAAAUUCCAUUGUCAAUUCUAAACCUAACGCAGUUGGAAUACUUGGAAAUAUCUGAAAAUUCUUUAGAAGGUUCCAUUCCAGAUGAGGUAACCGCUUUUCCUAAUCUAAUAUAUUUAUACUUAUCUGACAAUUUACUCAAUGGAACACUUCCGUCAUGGUUGUAUACUGCUCCCUGCUUAAAGGAAAUAUAUCUCUCUCAAAAUCAAUUCAGUGGGCAUAUCAAAGAAUUCCAAACCAAAUCACUAGAAUAUUUAUAUCUAGAAAAUAAUAAACUCCAAGGUCCCCUUCCAUCUUCAAUAUUCCAACUUCUCAAUCUUACCGGGCUCCUUUUAUCCUCAAAUAAUCUUAGUGGUGUCAUAGAGUUGAGCAUGUUCUCAAACCUUCCAAAUCUCAAAUAUCUUGACCUUUCAUAUAACAGCCUAUCCUUAAUAUCUAAUACUACUUCUACUGUUAAUCAUAUAUUGCCUAAUCUUACAGGCUUACAUUUGUCAUCUUGCAAUCUUAGUGAAUUCCCCCAAUUUUUGAAAGGGCUUAAAAGUUUGGAAAGCUUAGACCUCUCUUGCAACAAAAUUGAAGGCAAGAUUCCACAGUGGAUGCAAGAGGUGGGGAAUGUCUCUUUGACUUACUUCAACGUAUCUCACAACUCUUUGACAGAAGUUGAGCACUUUCCAUGGAAGAAUAUUGAUGUUCUUGACUUAAGCUCCAAUUUGAUCAGUGGAAAUCUUCCGAUUCCAGCUUCGACGAUCAGAGUCUUUCUGAUCUCAAAUAAUAGUUUCAAUGGAGAGGUCUCUUCUUUAAUAUGCAAUGCCAGUUCUCUUCAAAUUCUUGAUUUGUCCCACAAUAACUUGAGUGGAACAAUUCCGCAAUGUUUCGGAAAUUUGAGCGACAGCCUUGAAUUCUUGAAUCUGAAGAAGAACAAGUUUUAUGGGACGAUUCCUCCAACAUUUGCAGAGGGAUGCCAGUUGACUAAUUUCAACUUAAAUGGAAAUCUGUUAGAAGGGCCUUUGACACCAUCCAUCCUUAAUUGUAGAGGUCUGGAAGUGCUAGAUCUUGGUAACAACAAGAUCAAUGAUACAUUUCCUCAUUGGUUGGGAAAUCUUCCAUAUUUGCAAGUUCUUGUAUUGAAGUCAAAUCAUAUGCAUGGUUCUUUGCGUGUCAAUAGCUCCAAGUCUAGCCCCUUUUUCUCUAAAAUCCAAAUUUUUGACCUCUCAAGUAAUUAUUUUUCUGGACCCCUACCUGUGAGGUACAUCAACAGCUUCAAGGCUAUCAGAAAUCUAGAGAAGAUUCGUAGUACAGUGUCGUACAUGGGGGUGAAUGGUCGGAAUGGUAGUGGCUUCUAUACCUAUUCCAUUGGAAUUGUUAUGAAAGGACAAGAUAUGGAAUUGGUGAAAAUUUUCACCAUGUGGAUGAUCAUUGAUCUAUCAAACAAUCAGUUUGAAGGGGGUAUUCCAGAGGUUUUUGGAAAGCUUAACUUACUGAAAGGGCUCAACCUUUCUCAUAAUAACCUUAGUGGUGGUAUCCCCACCUCAAUAGGGAAUUUGACAAGUCUUGAAUGGUUGGACCUAUCUUCAAACAGGUUGUCUGGGACGAUUCCAAAUAGAUUGGCAGAUCUGGCAUUUCUUUCGUCCUUCAAUGUUUCUGAAAAUCAACUCCAUGGUCAGAUUCCUCAAGGAAAACAAUUCAACACAUUUGGAAAUGAUUCAUAUCAAGGGAAUAAGGGACUAUGCGGGUUUCCAGUCUCGAAAGGUUGCAACAUCAUUGAGCCAGCACCUCCAAAUGUGCUUGAAAAAGAUGGCUCAAAAUCAAACAUUACUUUUGGUUGGAAAGUGGUGUUGAUAGGUUAUGGAUGCGGAGUGGUGUUCGGAAUGUCCGUGGGAUAUGUUGUUUUCCAAACUGGUAAGCCGAAAUGGUUGGUGAAUUUGGUUGAAAUCCAACAUGAGAAGAUGCGAAGAAGAAAGUCAAAGGAUGGCAGUCGCAGCAAUGGACGAAGAAGGAUCUAGUUAGUGGAAAUGGUGUUCAAGUGUUGAUGUUGUAUCUUCAUAAUUUCUUGUUUUGAAGUCUUUCAAUUUUUUUCCUAUGGUGAAAGGUUGCAUUGCCAUGCAUCUGUCUUUAUUAUUGUAACAAUUCAUCUAUAUUUCAUUGCAUUACGUCCUAUAACAUUUUGUAUGGUUCAACCAUUUAUAUCUUCUUUCAUGACUUCCAUUUUUGAGUCUCAAUAAUCUCUGCAUUCAAGAUUUUGUCAGCUUAUUAAUUGGUGGAUCAAUAAUCUUCAUGCUCAUCUCAUCAUCUUUUUCUCGAGUUUCUUCUGUGUGGAAAAUAAUUUGACAUUCUGCAAAUUUCCACAAUGCUUGUGGAUUACCUUUGGUUAACAGCUAUACAUAUAAAGGAAGAAAACAAGACCAUGUCCAAAUUUCCAAAAAUUAGCCAUUGAUUUUUGAACAGUUAAACUUUCGUAUUCUAUUUUUUAAAAUUGUAAAUUCUCAAAUAAUGUAAAUUAGUCCUAAAACUCAAGUUUUGAAAUCUUUACAAUUUAACCCCUUAUAGUUUCAAACUUUACUGUUUUAUACUCAACUUUCUAAAUUUUCAUAUUUCAUGAUCAUAUAAUUUAGUUACUACAUCAAUAUUUGAGAUUUCACUACUCAAACCCUUACUUCAUUUCGGUCGUUACUUCAAUUUUAUCAAAUUACAUCAUUUUUCAAUUUGAAUGCAUUGAUGUGAAAUUGAGGGACCACUAAACAAUGUUGAUGAGAGUUUAGGCAAAAUUGGUGGAUCCGAUCUCCUUAGUAAUUUCUUUGUGGAAGUACCUACUUUCACAAUGCAAACUUGGAUAGUUUGUGGUGGACGAUGAUGAAUCAUUUCACAGUCAAACACAUAAUUUUUAAACACAAAAUUAACGAUAUAUUGAAAUCAUUAUUGAAAUUAUAAUCAAAAUUAAUACAUGUUCUUUUUAUUAGCUUAAGGGCGUAAAAACCCUUCAAAAUUUUCAAAAAAAAAAAAUUUAAGUCCUUUUUUUCUACUCAAUUGAGCACUUAAACUUUUAAAAUGUAUCAAAAAUAUCUUUACACUUCUUCAAAAAAAGCAAUUAAACCCCUUUUUUUUCCGCUCAAUUGGGUACUUGAACUUUCAUAAUGCAUAAAAAAAACCUUAAAUUUUUUUUCAAAGAAACAAUUAAGCCUCUAUUUUUUUCCCACUCAAUUGGGUACUUGAACUUUCAUAAUGCAUCAAAAAGGCCUUUAUUUUUUUUCAAAAAAGCAAUUAAGCCCCUACUCUUAUUAAAAAUUAGAAAAAAUCAUAAAAAUAAUAAAGUUCAAGUACCCAAUUGAGUGCCAAAAAAUAAAGUAGGGGCCUAAUUGCUUUUUUUGAAAAUGUUUGAGGGUCUUUUUGAUGUAUUUUGAAAGUUCAAGUACCCAAAUGAGUGCAUAAAAAGAACAGGGGUUUAGUUGCUAUUUUUGAAAAAGUUUGCACCCUUAAACCUCUUUUCUUUUUCUUUUUCAUAUGUGGCCUUGUUUGCUACAACUUAGUUGCUAAGUUAAAGGGAGUGAAUAGAGCACCAUUUUCUUCUUCUGCGUGGAAAAUUAAGUUGGCAUUAUGCCAAUUUCCACAUUCAUACAUACAAAGGAAGCAAGAGCAAGUCAAUAUACUUUGUAAUCUCAUCAAUUCUAAUUUUUAAAGUGUUGUUUACUACACACUUAGGGACCAUAUAUGUAUAUAUACAUUGCAGUCUGGGUCUUUGUCGUGUUUUGUUGGUUGGCUAUGGCCUUCUUGUUGUUUCCACUGUCUGCGGUGUUUGUUUCUAAGUCAUAUGUGGCCCUGUUUGCUACAACUUAGUUGCUAAGUUAAAGGGAGUGAAUAGAGCACCAUUUUCUUCUUCUGCGUGGAAAAUAAGUUGGCAUUAUGCCAAAUUCCACAUUCAUACAUAUAAAGGAAGCAAGACCAAGUCAAUAUACUUUCUAAUCUCAUCACUUCUUCUUUCUUUAGGGAGUUCAAGUGAAAUACAAAUUUUUUCACAUCCAAUCUCAUAAAUAAUCCGUCUUUGAACUUUCACCAAAAAAUAUUAAAUACCCAUUCACUUCAAUUCUACUAUUCUUAAAUCAUUAAAGUUUUGUGGAAAAUAUGCUUCUUGGAUAAAAUUAUUCAACACACAUGCCUUGAAUUUUAUGCAAAUAAAAUAAAUGAAUAUAGGCCACACAUGCUUUGAAUUUUUAAGUAGUCCAUAAUUUUGUUCGUUUGUGUGCAAAAUUCUACAUUGCUUGACAGCCAUACAUACUAAGUAAAUAGACACCCACAUUGUUUACAUAUUAUGAGGAAGAAGACCAAGUCAAUCUACUUUGUAAUCUCAUCAAUCUUAAUUUUUUCAGUUGUUUAGGGAGUUCAAAUGAAAUACAAAAUUUUGAAAAAAAAAUGUAUCCAAUUUUGUGAAUGAAAAAUUUAUGGUAAAAAGGAUUUGGUAUGGAUACUUCAGCCCGGGUAGCAAUACUCAGGGUAAGUUUAUCAAUACAUUGCUUUUGGUUGGAAAGUGGUGUUGAUAGGUUAUGGAUGCGGGGUAGUGUUUGGAAUGGCCAAAAUAUAGCAAUCGCAUCAGUGGAUGAAGAAGGAUCUAGUUGGUGCAAAUGAAGUUAAAGCAUUUCUGCCGUCUCUUCAUAAUUUCUUGUUUGGUAGUCUGUCAGAAAGUUUUUCCUAUGGUGAAAAGUUUGAGUUGCAUUUAUAAAAUUUCCACUGUCAAAAGAUUCGAUUGCACUGCAGGGUAACAUAUUUAAGAUUGGAUUACACUGUCAAAAGAUUGCAGCAACGAUGAGAUUAAUCCAAUUACAGGAAUUGGUAUCCUAAAUGGCUUUUUGGUACGUAGCUUCAUUGACGGUACAAACUAGUUAAAAUUUCCAGCAUUCAUGUGUUUGUUUUCCCUCAAGUAAACGUAGUCAAUACUGCAAAUGGUGUGGAAGUACUGUACAUUGUGGCCCAAAUGUCCAAAAUUUCCACAUUGCAUGUAAAUUAAGUUUGCGUGAGAGAGAUAGGAGGAAGCAACAGCAAGUGUGAAGUCAAUAGACAACUGAUAGUCUUAGUCUUUUUUUGUCGAGUUAAAGUGUAGUCAAUAGACAAUUGAUAGUCUUAGCCCUUUUUGUGGAGUUAAAAGUAUAGUCAAUAAACAAUUGAUAGUUAAAUUUGUAGCAUUCUUCUUCCUCUUUAUUCUUUUGUGUGGAAAAUUAUUUGGGACCAAACUUGACGUGUUAUAAGGAAGAAGACUUUGUAAUCUCAUGAAUGUUAAUUAUUUUACUUCUUUGGUAAAAAAAGUAACCAAUUUUAUGAAUGAAAAAUAUUAUGUGGUAAAAAGGAAGUAGUUGUUCAUCACUAACAAUAUGAUGAUUGUGGAAAUACAAAAAAUCCCAUAUAUGUGUUGAAUUCUGCAUAAUAUAAAUGUCCUGCAUUGCAUGUGAAUUCUGCAAUAGACCAAACUUUACGUGUUAUAGUCCUUUAAACUGAGUUAAUGAAAAGUAACCAUUCUUAUCAAAUUUAGUUAUACUCUUAAUUUAUAACAAAGGAAAGAGUAAUUUGAGUUUAACUCAAAGGUUAAUAUGUCAUCAAUGGGUGAUGGCGUGGCGCUACCAUGUCAGCGAUUAUUUUCUUCUUUGAAUUAAGGUGAUUUCACCAAUUUUAGUUUACUUUUUUACUUCAAUUUAGGUUUAUGCUUAUUAGCUUCAAAGAUUCUAAGUGGGUGCCACAAUCAAAGGGUGAGUAAAAAGGGUUAAAAAUGAUUUUUUUAAAAUUUUUUAUUUUUAUUAAAAAUUUAGAAUUAGAAUUAGACAAAUUUUGUAAAAGUUAAGGGCUAACUUUAUUGAUUUUUUUUUUCAGAAUUCGAACUAAAAUUACAUUUUGUAAAAAGAGCUAAAUUUGUUGAGUUUUUUAUAUUUAGGAUCAAAUUGAUAGAAUGUGUAAAUAUUAGAGGUUAAAUUUGUUAUUAGAUCAAUAAAAAAACCCACAUUAGCUUUGCGUCACUCAUCUAACGACAACUAAAGGGAGAGUUAUUAAAAUAUUUAAUUUCAAAAAGUUUAGCAACUAAAUUGGAAAAUUUAAUAGUUGGGUGACUAUUUUUGCAGUUUACUACUUUUUUGGUCACCUGACUAUUAAGUGACACUUUUUAGUUGGUAUAAUAAUAAUUUUAGUCCUCAAUUUUUAUACUUUCUGUCAAUUUGACUCUGAUUAUAUAAAAUGAUUACAAAAGUGAAAUUCUUUUUAAAAUUUACAAAAUUCUAAAAAUUAAAAAUUAAAUGAAAGUAGAUAAAAAUUUCAAAUAUAAACAAAGUGAGAGAAAAUGAGGGAAAUAUUAUUUUUAAACCCUCCAACUUUUCUUUGUAUUAUCGUAAAGAAAUAUCUAAUAUCCAUUCUUUUAGAAAACAUAGAAAAAAGUAAAAAAAAAAAAGAUUAAGUAAAAUUAUCUGUAUAUAAUCUGCUUUUAUAAUUUGGGUUUUUAAAAAUAAAUUUAAAUGAAUUGAAAAUUCGAAUUGAGUUUGAAAAAUAAAAUUUUGUGGUAUAUUUUAUAUUUUUGCUAGAAAAAUGGCAUCAAAGUUGAUUUUGUAAGCUUUUGUAAUAUCAGUUACGGAUGUUCUUCAAGGGCAUGGAACUCAACUUGAAAAUUUUACUAAUUUGGUUGCAAAAAAACAUUGAGGAAGCAUAUAAUGAUCUAACCUUUUUUGUUUUGUUUUGUUUUUAAUUUGUUAUGGGAUUCUAUUGAAUGAUAAUUUUUUUUUAUUUCCCAUACAUAUUAGUUCUUCAAAAACAACAUAUUCGAGAUUUUAUUUUUCUAGAAUUUUUAUAUAGAAGUUUAUAUUUUUUAAAAUAAAUUUGAGUUUUUUUUAGAAUUUUUAUAUAGAAUCGAGGUAAAUUGGCAAAAAAAAUUAUAAAAACAAAAUACUAAAAUUGUUAUUAUAGCAACUAAAAAGUGUCAUUUAACAAUAGGGUGACCAAAUUGUAACUUUUUUAGUUAAGUGACCAAAACGAAGAUUUACCCAUAGUUUAGUGGCUAAUUAUGUAGUUUACCCUUUCAUAAUUAAAAAAUAGUUGUUAAGUUUUUCUUGUAUUAGAUAACAAUUUAGAUGGUAAAAACCCUCUUUAGUCCCUCUCAAUUUUGAUAUUAAGUAAAAUUGUCCAUUUAAAAAAAAAAUCAAAGCAAUUUAAUAUUUGUUAAUUUCGAAAGUGAGCAACUAAGGACAAUUAAUCACAAUGUCAAUAUUUUCCAUCAAUUGUACAUAUUUUUAUUGGUGUAAUAACAAAUUUAGCUCUCAAAGUUUACACAUUCUGUCAAUUUAGUCUUGAUUUAACAAAUUUAACCCGCAACAAUUACAUAUUCUAUUAACAUUGACACAUAAUAUAUAAACAUUGAGAGCUUAAUUUUUUAUUGUAUCAAUAAAAAUUAUGUACAAUUUACAUAAAGCAUUAACACAAUGAUUAAUUGUCCUUAGUUGCUCCCUUUCAAAAUUGAUCAUGAUUAAAUUGCUCUAAUUUUCUGAGAGGAACCAAUUUGUUCAAUAUAGAAAUUGAGAGGGACGAGAAAUGUGUUUUUUAUCCAUUUUAGAUACCAACAAGUGUUUGGCAUAGUCGCAAGACAUAUUACAUUCUCAAGGAGAGAAUGCGUAGUCAAACGUUGGAGAUAUCAAUGUUGUGUGGGGUAUCCAAGGAUCUCGAACACGAACUGUAAAACAUAUAUAAAGAAUAAAAAAAUAACAUCUUAAUUUAAAUAAUUAUAAAUUUUAAUUUGAAAAAAGUAUUUUGAGAAACAUAAGUUUUAGAAGUAGUAAAAUUGAAUCGAUAAAACAUGUCCAUUAUAUCAGAAUCAUAAAAAUACAACUUAAUUAAUUUGAAUUUAAACUUAACUCAACUCGACUUGAUUAUAAAAACUGAUAAUUUGAAUUCAAAAUGACAUGAUCUUGAAAUGAUUUGAAUUAAUUGUCAGACCCGAACGACAAAACUCGAAAUGAUGCAAUCCAAAAACACAAAUCAAGUGAACUAAACUACGAAAAAAAAAACCUUACACUGACUCAAAUCCAAAAUAGUUUAAUCCUAAAAUAACCUAAAUUUUAUAUAAUAAAAACUCGAAAUAACCCGAAAAUUUUUAAAUUAAAAUUGAUCCGACCCAAAUUCACACCACCUAAAAUCAAUCGUAACCACCUAAUUAAAAAGCAUGAAAUGAAAUGAUGUAAAGAGAAAAUCAGAGAAAACCAAAUAGAAAGUAACAAGCCUUUUUCAGAAUUGAAAGCAAAUUCCGUACAUUCACGACAUGCAUAAAACAACAAUGGUUUAUAGAAUUUGAGUUUUAGUCCCUGUACUUUAAAAGUUAAUUUUUCUUAAUUUAAAAACUUUAGUUUAAUCAUUUAUGUUGGUUGUAGUUUCCGUUAGCUUAAUCAACAUGUUAAAUUACUAAAUUUUGACAAAAAAUACUUACGAGUUUAAUGAUUGUACCGAGAUUUUUAAAUAAAAAAGUCGGAAGACUAAUUUCUAACCUUUUAAAUAUAGGGACUAAAAGCAUCUUUUAACUUUGAUAUUAUUAUUAUAAGCAGGGAUAAUGUCACCUUUGGCAUCUGUACUUUCAUAAAAUGUCUAGUGGUACAAGUACUUUGAAAAUAUAUAAUGUGGUACCUGAACUAUCAAUAGGUGUUAUUAUUAUGGUACAUGUACUUUGAAAAUGUUUAAUGUGGUACCUAAACUAUCAAUAUAUAUUUUAUUAUGAUACUUGAUAAAGACGGACUAUGGUGGCUUAGGGGGCUCUUUGUCCCGCCACCCUUGCAAAAAAAAAAAAAAUCGAAGAAUUUUGUUUUUUCCUUUAAAAUUUUUAGAAAAUUUCAAUUAGGCCCUCAAAAUUUUUGAAAAUUUUCAUUAUACCUUUUAAUUUUUUUGAAAAUUUUAAUUAAGCACUCUUAAAUUUUGAAAAUUCUCAUUGAUCUCACAAAAAUUUUAAAAUUUUUUAUUAGACCCCCAAUUUUUUUAAAAAAAAUCUUAUUAAACCAUUAAAUUUUUAGCAAAUUUUACCUGCCCCCUCCCCCCCAAAAAAACCUAGUCCCAACUACUAGUAUCCGCCAUUGUUACUUGGUAUUAACACUGUUAGAAAAUUGCUAAAUCAACCAAUAAAAAUUUGACACAUAGAACCCUUUUUUUAAUUAUCAAGUCCACGUGGAUAAUAUAAUAGUGAAAAAAUAAAUAAAAAAUAAUUAAAUGAAAUUAAAAAACAAAUAACUAAACAUAUGGUUAAUAAAAAAAAACCCAUACUUUCAAAGAUAAUAAAAAAUAUUAUUUAAAAAUCAAUUGAAAAUAUUAUUUUAAAAGGAAAACUCUUUGAAGAAGAUGAUCAUUUGCUUAAAUGGAGAAUAUAAUAUUUUUGGUUAUGUAAGUUUAGUAUUUACUUCUUUUUUAUUAAUCAUAUGUUUAGUUUUUUUUUUAAUUAAUUUAAUUGUUUUAUUUAGUUUUUCACAUAAUGUUAUUUUACACAUGCGGACUUGAUGAAUUAGAAAAAAAAUAUUAUGUGUCAAAUUUUCAUUGGUUGGUCUAAUAAUUCAUUAACGGUGGAUUUGUUCUACAUUGAUGACAAAGAUGUGGAGUUUAAAGAAGUAAGAACUUAUCAACAAUAUUCGAGGUUCUGUUAUAUGUUACCUUAUUAAAAAAGUCAUCACUUAAAUUCUUCUAUGUUGCCUUAUGUAUGUAGGUUCUUGAGUCACCUUUGCCAAAAGCACCGCUUGAUACAUCUGUUACAUCCCACUGGCUUGCGAUUGAAGGCAUUCAACCAGCAAUUCCAGAAAAUGCUUCAAUUGAAGGUACCGUCUUAGCUAACCUAAAUAUUCUCUCGAAGCUAUUUGUGUUGAAGACUCUCAUGGUUCAUGUUCUUUUCUGGUUUUAUCACUUUAAUCUAAUACGACUUAUCGUCAUUUCUACACGGAAUUUGUAUUUUGCUUUCCAUGCAGCACCUUCUGAUGGUAAAAAGGCUGAAUACAAAAAAGAUGGGCUUUCCGUUGAUGUCAAAUUACCUGUUAAGCAUGUAUUAUCUAGAGAGCUUCAAGUAUGUUGUACAUCUUCAGCAACAUUUUUCUGUUAAAAUACAUUUUGCACAGAAUGAUAUUAAAAGACUAAUUUGGUUGUCAUGCAGCUUUACUUUGACAAGAUCGUGGACAUUACCAUGAAUAAAUCAGUCUCAAUUCUCUUUAAACAAGCAUUACUGAGUUUGGCAACAGACUCGGGAUUACAUCCUUUAGUUCCUUAUUUUACAUAUUUUUGCGGAUAUCUCAUACCUGAUUAUAUAUGUGUGUUGCAAAGAACUUUUGGUUGGUUAUCUCGAGCUUACAUUUUUGCCACAUUUAUCUCAGGUUGCACGGAGUAAUUUCCCUCUCAUGUUUGCUUUGAUGCGUGUUGCCCGGAGUCUUCUCCAGAAUGAACACUUACACAUAGAACCUUACUUGAGUUUAUUAUUUCAAUCAUUUAGAAGUACACGAACUAAUGCAAAUAUGCUAGUGGUUUAUUUUCCACCUAUCUGAUUUUUUAAAAUGUUCUUCAGUUACACCAGUUGAUGCCAUCUAUUAUUACCUGCCUCGUUGCAAAAAGGUUAGGAAAUAAAUUCACCGACAAUCAUUGGGAACUUAGAAACUUCGCAGCAAAGCUAGUGGCAUCAUUAUGCAAAAGGUGAGGAUUUCUUUUCUUUUGGACUUAUACAUGCAUAUUCGUUUUUAUGAAUCUCAGGUGUCUGAUUUUUUAGUUAUAAACUUGGAUCUAUUCUUCAAAUCAUGUGUAUAUCAUUUUUAUGCUAUUUCACACAUGCAAAACAAAUGGUGCGAGCGUGCAUGUUAUAUGCAGAAUGCAUAGAUUAAUUACAUGUGGAUCAUUAAGCAUGCCUAUGUUUGACCAUUGUGUGUGGCUACUUUUUUUUACAUGAUCCAAUUUUCGAUAUGCUUUGCUUUUAGGUUGAAUGCGGAAAAGAUUAGAACUUAGUUUCCAGCAUAAUGAUUUGUCUUGGAUAUGCAGAUUUUUACAUGCAUUUCUUACAAGUCAAUAUUUUAUAGAUUUGGGCAUGUUUAUCACAAUCUUCAGCCACGUGUGACAAGGACACUGCUCCAUGCUUUUUUGGACCCAACGAAAACAUUUCCCCAGCAUUACGGAGCAAUUCAAGGGUUAGCAGCCCUUGGACCCAGUGUGGUAUAAUUCUAAUCUCAAAUAUUUACUAGCAACACAAUAAGAUACUUGUUUGUGGGAUCAACUGGUCAAAGAUAUUGCAAUGAUAGCCAUCUUUUUAAGCCCAUUUCUUUCAGAAAACUGUUUUGUCACUCUUUUCUGCAAGAUCCGAAGAAAGAAAGAACUUGGAAAUCUAUAGUCCAAAAGUGUAAAUAUGCGGUUUCUCUAUAGGUAUCUUUAUUAUGGCAUCUGUACAGUUUGUCUUUCAUAUGUUUGGCUAACGCUUCUUCUUCCAUGUGUAGGUUCGUUUACUUAUACUACCAAAUCUUGAAGCGUAUUUGCAGCUUCUUGAACCUGAAAUAAAAAGACACGAGGCCUGGUGUGUUUAUGGGGCCCUGCUGGUAAGUUCCACAUCAAAUUUGGUACCAGUUUAUGAGCAUCGUUUCAUUUAUUUGCUGUAGAACUAACAACACUGCAUAAAAUUUCCACUAACAGCGUGCAGCUGGACUGUGCAUGUAUGAUCGGCUUAAAAUGUUCCCCAGUUUGCUAGCACCCCCAACUCGUCCCGUUUGGAAAAGCAACAACAAAGUUGCGACAAGUAUGAUUUCUUCGAACCAUCAUAUUUACACUUAAUCCACAAGUCUCUUCUCCCCCUUUACGAUAUUCCUUUUUCUGAUCAACCAAGAUAAACGAAAAGCAAGCACGGACACCUUGAUGCAGCAGCAACAACCUGCCAAGAAAAUAGCAACUGAGAGUGCAAUAGGUAUGAUGCCAAUAAAUUCCAUGCAAGCUGAUUUACAAGGGUCAGUUAGCGGCUUUUCUACCACCGUAGGAGGUUCCAAUAUCGGUGUAUCAUCAAUGUCACGGCCGUUAUCAAACUAUAACAUGCUUGGAAGGGAGGCUGGGGGUCGAGUUUCAAAGACAUCAACCGUUCUAGCUCAGGCUUGGAAGGAAGACACAGACGCAGGGAACUUGUUAGCAUCAUUAUUUGAACUUUUUGGUGAAAGUAUGUUAUCAUUUACUCCCAAACCUGAGCUUUCAUUCUUCCUUUGAUUGAAUUUCACCUCCAAAAGCUAUAGUUUUUGAAGGAAUUUGUGUAAAUUAUCCCCAUAGUUUUUUUCAGUCUUACUGUGUUUAUCUUUAUAAGUCUUCUUUUUUUCCUUGCUCAUAAAUGUAUUGUAGUUAUCAGAAAAUAUAUUCUACUUUGGAUUUUGUUUAUAUUAAAUUUUAGGUUAAAUUCUGCUAUUAGUCUCUGUAUUUACGAAAAUGAUGGAUUUAGUCCUUAUACCUUAAUUUGAUCAAUUUUAGUCAUUGUAUUUUUUGAAUUGGUCAAUUUUAAACUAUUUACUUUUUGAAGUUUGAAAUUUUAGUCUUGAUCCAAAUAAUAAUAAUAAUUAAAUCUGCUUAUUUAAAUUCAAUUAUUAGUUUUGUAUUAUGUAGAUAGUUAUAAAUUUAGGGUGGGUUUGGAUGGGCUGUGCUUUUACCUGCAGUUAGUGUAAAAAUAGCGGCGGUGGUGAGAUUAGAUAUCCAAGGUACCUAAUUUUUAUUUUGGCCAUAAGUACUACUAAAACUAUUCUUCCGUUACCCAUUUUAUACCAAAAUGUUAUAUCGGCUAAAAAGAUUCCAACAAAUAAUAGAUUGUAUGUCAUAUAAACUUUUUUAAAAAAUCAUUAAUUAAUUAAUUUUUAUAUUUUUCUUUCUUAUUCCUUUAUAAUGUUUGACAAUGUCGAUAAUGCUUGAAAUUGGCCCACUUGAGGUCGAAACGCUGGUGAUUAAUUUUGGUUUUGAAUUUCACCACCUACUUCUCUGACCAGAGGGGAUAGAAAAAGUUCUUUCAUCGAUCAAAACUAGUAUUUUCAAAAACAGACUGAUUCUACGGGUUGGAUAGGAAAUCGGUUUGGAAAUAGGGGUUGAAUCGAUUGACUUGCGAGCAAAAACAAAUCGGUUGAACUAAGCUAAAAAAACUGGUUGAAUAAGUUCUCUCUUUUUAUAUAUAUAUAAAUAAUAAUAGGCUUUGUUUUUACUACAUGUCAAUUUUUAAUUGGUUAAUUUUUUUUUCAUAUAAAUUGAACAAUUUGACUAAUGACGGAGGUACCAAAUUAUAGUCUAGGUACCAAUUUAUGGGUUAAGCCUAUUUAUAAAAUAGACUUUUGACAGUUUGACUAAUGGCGGUAGUAACUUGGGAAAAAAAAGUAGUUUAUGUACCACUUGUGACAAAAAAUAAGAUUAGGUACCAACAUGGGAAAAUGAGUAUAAUUUAGAUACCGAUUUAUGAGUUAAGCCUAAUAUAUUUGUCGCAUAAUUUUUUGAAAAUAACAGAACUUAAUAAAUUUAACGGUUAUUGUUUGGUGAUUACUAAAAUUUUAAAAUUUGAAAAGUACAUGAACUAAAAAUGACCAAAUUAAAAUAUAAAUAUUAAGUCCACAACUUUUGCAAAGUACAAGGACUAAUUGCAGAAAUUAACCUAAAUUUCAUAUGGGUCAAUUACAAAAAUAAUCACUAAACUAUCCCUUUGGUUCUAUUCUAGUCACUCAACUAUAUAGGUGCUCAUGAGCUUGGCCAGGUCAGGCCUAAGUAAGGGUGAGCAUUCGAUUGAAUCGAAAAUAGGGUUUGGGAUAGAUGGGAGGGGAAUAAAAGUUUUAGGGGAAAAGUGGGAGGGAGUAAAAAUUUUGGGAGAAAAUAAAAGGUUUUGAGGGUUUUGGGGAGUAAAAUAUUGAGAAAAAAUAAAUAGGAGAGUAAAAUUUUGGUGGGAAAUGGAUUUUGGGUAGAUUGGGGGGUUGGGAGGGGAGGGGAGUAAAAGUUUUGGGGGGAAAGUGGGAAGGAGUAAAAGUUUUGAGGGAAAAGUAAAAAAGUUUGGGAGUUUGGGGUAAAAAUGUAAAAUAUUAUAGUUUGAUAUUCGAAUUAUUCGAAUUAUUCGAGUUAUUCGAAUUCGAAAACUCAACUCGAUUCGAACUCGAAAUUCGAAAAAAAAUUCGAGUUGAUUCGAAUAACUCGAUUCGUUUAACUCGAAAUUUGAAUUUUUUUCAAUUUUUUCGAGUCGAAUCGAGUUUUGCUCACCCCUAGUUGCAAGUGCAACUUGCGUGGUGGCUGCCAGAAGGACUGAAUCGUAAAUGUAGCAAAAGUUUUGGGGCAAAAAUGUAAUUUUGAGAAAGUUUAGGGUCAAAAUAUAAUUUUAAAAAAUAUUAAGGGUUAAAAUAUAAUUUUAUAAAAAUUUAAGGGUCAAAAUGAAAUUUUAGAAAAGUUCAGAGGUCAAAAUACAAUUUUUAAAUUUUUUUUAAAAAAAAAAACACGAAAUUAUUCCCACAAAAUUAAGUGAUUACACGUAACUUUUCAAUGUAAAAGAAAAAAAAGACUGUAACACCAAUGUUGUGGUGUUAUUUGUUGCCUAUAAAUACCAUUCCUAUUCUUCAUCUUCCUCUGCAAACAUAACAUGGCCCCCUAUCUCUUUCUCUGCCUAUUCCUCUUCUUUCCCCGUCUUUAUGCUUCUUUUUCUUCUUCAGGAUAUCAGUCCUGCUCUUCAUUAAUCCAGUUUAAGGACUCUUUUUCCAUAACAGAGGAUGCUUCUUCUGAUUGCAAUGAGAUUGCUGGCCUUAAAUCUUAUCCCAAGACAAAUUCAUGGAAGGAGGGUACAGAUUGCUGCUCAUGGGAUGGGGUCACUUGUGACCACCUAAAUGCUCAUGUUAUUGCCCUUGACUUGAGCUGCAGUUGGCUAUAUGGCAACUUCCCUUCCAAUACCACUCUCUUCCUUCUUCCUCACCUUCAAAAACUCAACCUUGCCUACAAUGAUUUUAAUCUUUCCAAAAUUCCAUCCGAGUUCGGUCGGUUUACAAGCCUAUUCUACCUCAACCUUUCCCAUACAGAGUUUGAAGGAGAAGUCCCAUCCCAAGUCUCCCACCUGUCAAAAUUGGUUUCACUUGAUCUCUCCUCUCGGAUUGAUUACUCUGGGCAAGUUACAAUUGACAAACAUGCUCUGGAGGGACUUGUUCACAACCUAACCGAGGUCAGACAUCUGUUUUUGGAUGGAAUGGACAUGUCUUCUGUUAAUGCUCAUGUCUUCAUGAAUCUAUCCUCUUCUCUAAGGUCUCUCAGUCUUGCUUAUUGUGAUUUGCAAGGAAAAUUCCUAAAAAACAUUAUUGAUUUGCCAAACCUCAAUCUCCUCAACUUGGGACGUAACCAAAACCUCAAUCUUGAUCCUUUGAAGUUCAAUCGGAGCAGCAAUCUCGAACAUUUGGAUCUGUCGUGGAUGUCCUUCUCUACAGAAUCCGUUAAUUCAGUUGAUAAUCUACAGGCCUUAAAGUACUUAGAUCUAUCAGGAAAUUCUUUCUUUCAAGGAUUGUCUGUCUCAAUCACAAAUUUAUCAUCUUUGGAGCAAUUGAUAAUUUCAGGCGCAAAUUUUUUUGGAGGAUUGCCUGACUCGAUGGGGAAUCUUGUGUCCUUGAAGUUUUUAUUUCUCUCCGAUUCCAACUUUUCAGGACCGCUUCCAAGAUCACUGGGAAACCUCUUUCAACUCAAGUGUUUAGACUUGAGAUCAAACAAAUUGAGUGGACAAAUUCCAUUGUCAAUUCUAAACCUAACGCAGUUGGAAUACUUGGAAAUAUCUGAAAAUUCUUUAGAAGGUUCCAUUCCAGAUGAGGUAACCGCUUUUCCUAAUCUAAUAUAUUUAUACUUAUCUGACAAUUUACUCAGUGGAACACUUCCGUCAUGGUUGUAUACUGCUCCCUCAUUAGACAGUAUAGGUCUCUCUCAAAAUCAAUUCAGUGGGCAUAUCAAAGAAUUCCAAUCCAAAUCACUAGAAUUGAUAGCGUUAGAGAGUAAUAAACUCCAAGGUCCUCUUCCAUCUUCAAAAUUCCAACUUCUCAAUCUUACCCACCUCUCUUUAUCCUCAAGUAAUCUCAGUGGUGUCAUAGAGUUUCGCAUGUUCUCAAACCUUCCAAAUCUAAAACUUCUUGACCUUUCAUACAACAGCCUAUCCUUAGCAUCUAAUACUACUUCUUGUGUUAACCAUAUAUUGCCUAAUCUUACAGACUUACGUUUGUCAUCUUGCAAUCUUAGUGAAUUCCCCCAAUUUUUGAAAGGGCUUAAAAGUUUGAAAAGGUUAGACCUCUCUUGCAACAAAAUUGAAGGCAAGAUUCCACAGUGGAUGCAAGAGGUGGGGAAUGGCUCUUUGACUUACUUAAACGUAUCUCACAACUAUUUGACAGAAGUUGAGCACUUUCCACGGAAGAAUAUUGAAGUUCUUGACUUAAGCUCCAAUUUGAUCAGUGGAAAUCUUCCGAUUCCAGCUUCGACCAUCAAUGUCUUUUUGAUCUCAAAUAAUAGUUUCAAUGGAGAGGUCUCUUCUUUAAUAUGCAAUGCCAGUUAUCUUAAAAUUCUUGAUUUGUCCCACAAUAACUUGAGUGGAACAAUUCCGCAAUGUUUUGGAAAUUUGAGCAACAGCCUUCAAUUCUUGAAUCUGAAGAAGAACAAGUUCUAUGGGACGAUUCCUCCAACAUUUGCAGAGGGAUGCCAAUUGACUAAUUUCAACAUAAAUGGAAAUCUGUUAGAAGGGCCUUUGACACCAUCCAUCCUUAAUUGUAAUGAACUGGAAGUGCUAGAUCUUGGUAACAACAAGAUCAAUGAUACAUUUCCUCAUUGGUUGGGCAGUCUUCCAUUUUUGCAAGUUCUUGUAUUGAAGUCAAAUCAUAUGCAUGGUUCCUUGCGUGUCAAUAGCUCCAAGUCUAGCCCUUUUUUCUCUAAAAUCCAAAUUUUUGAUCUCUCGAGUAAUUAUUUUUCUGGACCUCUACCUGUGAGAUACAUCAACAGCUUCAAGGCUAUCAUAAAUCUAGAUAAGAUUGGGAGUACAAUGUCGUACAUGGGGGUGUAUGCUCAGAGAGGUAGUGGCUUCUAUACCUAUUCCAUUGGAAUUGUUAUGAAAGGACAAGAUAUGGAAUUGGUGAAAAUUUUCACCAUGUGGAUGAUCAUUGAUCUAUCAAACAAUCAGUUUGAAGGGUGUAUUCCAGAGGUUUUUGGGAAGCUUAACUUACUGAAAGGGCUCAACCUUUCUCAUAACAACCUUCAUGGUGGUAUCCCCACCUCAAUAGGGAAUUUGACAAGUCUUGAAUGGUUGGACCUAUCUUCAAACAGGUUGUCUGGGACGAUUCCAAAUAGAUUGGCAGAUCUGGCAUUUCUUUCGUCCUUCAAUGUUUCUGAUAAUCAGCUCCAUGGUCAGAUUCCUCAAGGCAAACAGUUCAACACAUUUGGAAAUGAUUCAUAUGAAGGAAACAAGGGAUUAUGUGGAUUUCCAGUCUCGAAAGGUUGCAACAUCAUUGAGCCACCACCUCCAAAUGUGCUUGAAAAAGAUGGCUCAAAAUCAAACAUUACUUUUGGUUGGAAAGUGGUGUUGAUAGGUUAUGGAUGCGGAGUGGUGUUGGGAAUGUCCGUGGGAUAUGUUGUUUUCCAAACUGGUAAGCCGAAAUGGUUGGUGAAUUUGGUUGAAAUCCAACAUGAGAAGAAGCAAAGACGAAAGUCAAAGAAAGGCAAUCGAAGCAAUAGACGAAGAAGGAUCUAAGUACAGCAAAUGAUGUUCAAGAAUUAGUGUUGUAUUUUCAAAAUUUCUUGUUCUGUAGACCGUUUUGCCCAUGGUGAAGGGUUGCAUUGGUAUGUGUAUGUCUUUAUUAUUGUACCAAUUCCUGUCUUUCAUUGCAUUUCGUACUAUCUGUAAUGGUUUGUUUGAGUGUAACAUUUUGUAUGGUAUUGUUGUUUAUGUCUUCUUUCAUGACUUUCCAUUUAGUCUCGAUAAUCUUUGCUACUGCUCAGUAAAGGAGGAAGGAGAAUAAAAUGUCUCAAUUUAUGUCAAUUUAUGCUUGCAGAUUUGACGUGGAAUGUUGUUGAACUGAAGGUUGUUUAACUUUUGUCUUCUAAGCUAUACAUGAACAUAUGGGAUGUGACAAAUAUUAUUUUAGCUUUUGCUUAUGAAAUGUUGAAAUAGUGAGUUUAUAUUCCUUGAUUAAUAAAAAGUGAGAUGGAGAUAGUCAAACCUCAAUUUCCACAUUGAAAUUGAAUCCAAACAUUAAUUGGUGGAUCACAUGUCUUGUAUUCUGUCAAGUUAAAGGGAGUGAAUAGAGCACCAUUCUUCUUCUGCGUGGAAAAUAAGUUGGCGUUAUGCCAAUUUUCACAUUCAUACAUAUAAAGGAAGCAAGACCAAGUCAAUAUACUUUGUAAUCUCAUCAUUUCUUCUUCAUUCUUUAGGGAGUUCAAAUGAAAUACAAAUUUUUGGUAAAUCAACUCUUCUUUUUUAUGAAUAAAAAUUAUAUGGUAAAAAGGAAGUGGUGUUAAUAAUAAUAAUAAUAAUAAUAAUAACAACAACAAUACAAAACUAAUAAAGCAAUUUAGUCUAUGAUUUGCACAAUGAUUAAUGUAGCGACCUAAAAAUUUAGGCACGAGCGCUAAUUGAAGUGAUUAUUGAAAAUUUGAAAACAGAAUCUCGAUUUUAUUUGAAAAAGGAGUCGCUAUCGAUCUUUUUUUCUAGGUGUGAUCGGACACCUAAUAAAUUCUCUUUUUAGAAGAAAAAUUUAUUUUUAAAUUUUUCUAAAAAUAGGUAAUUUUUCUAAAAAAUUUAGGGGUCAAAAUGUAAUUUUUUAUUUUUUGAAUUUUUUUUGAAAUUUAAAAAAAUAUAUAUAUAUAAACACGACAAAACCCGGACAAAAUUUAGUGCUUACAAUUAAUACCUAAUUUGAUCCUUGAAUUAUAGUUCAAAAAGUAUUUUUAUAUUUUUAAAUUUUCAUAAAAAUAAUUGUAUCAAAAUUUAAAAAUCUUAAAAAUAAAUACAAAUUUUAUAUAAAAAAUCAAUUGGCCCAAGAAAAAAAAUUUACCAACUAAAUUUUCCAUAUCCAAACUCAUAAAUAAUUCUUCUUUGAACUUUCACAAAAAAAUAUUAAAUACCCUUUCACUUUAUCAUUAUAAAUAUAAUAUACAUUUUUUUCCUUCUUUUUCAUGUAGAUCAGCUUCAACUCUACUAUUCUUAGAUCAUUAUAAAUAUAAUAUAUGUUUUAUUUACAGCUGAAAGUAAAACCUUGAGUUGAAAUUUGGCAGAAAAAAUUGUGGGUUUGGAGAAGAAGAAGAGCACUUUGUAUUUAAAUUUAAAAAAUCAAAAAUUUCAAAACUGAAAGUUACUCAAAACCCUAAACAAUCUAAUAAUUGGAGUUAUAGAAAAGAAAUAUGAGUUUAGAAAUAAAUAAAACAAAAUAAAUUUGCAAAACAAUUUCUAGGCAAAACAACAUGAAGUUGUUGAUGUGAUUGAAGGUGUUCUUCAACGGUGGAAAACAAAUAGAAUUUAAUUUGAAAAUUUUAAGAUUUUUUAAAUAAUAAAAAAUUGCAUUAGUUUAAAAACUUUAGUUUUAAUUUUAAGAUAUUUUUAGAUUUAUACAUAUUUAAUUAUUUUUAGAUUUUUUAGAUUUAAAUGAAGUUACAAUUAUUUUUGAAAACGGUACCUCUACAUUUUUGAAGGUACAAGGAAAUAAAAUAUGGAUUUGGUAUCGAUACUUCGGCCCGAGUAUCAAUGCUCGAGGUAAGUUUAUUGAUACCUUGCGAAAGGUACCAAUAAUUUUUUUAUAUUUUGAUAUUUGGUAAGAAACAUAAUGUUAGUUUGGUAUCGAUUUUCCAUGAGAUAUCAAUACCACUUAAAGAAAAUAUCGAUAGCCCUAGGACAGUAUCAAUACCUAUGUAACAGUUUUAGAAAUUUUGCAACUGGGCCCAUUUGUAGGUUUGAUUGAUGUUUUUAAUACCCUUAGUGUAUGUAUGGCAUGUUUUAAUGAUAAGAAGUGGUUGAACGACUACAACUCAUACGUAGGAUUGAAUAAAGAUGAUGAUUGGUUACUUGUGAAAUUGUUUGCUAAGUAAAUGAUGCAUGAUGGUGGUGUAACAUCCUAAUAUUUCGGCUUGGCGACUGAGCCGAGUAUAGGGUGUUACAAUGUGUUCCACAAGUUUCAUCAGCAAUCCUCAAUGCAUCUAAUUAAUUGGGAAAAUUGAGAAAAUAGAAAUGGUCAAGAAGAUGUAACAUGAUGAGUACCUCUUUGCACCGUCAAGAAUUUUAGUAAGUCUCCAAAUUCAUUCAUUAACCCUCCUUCCUGUUAAAUAUUUAUCAUUAAUUUUAUUAAAUUAAAACAUAAAUUUUUAUAAAUCUAAAGUGUAAUUUAUGAGCCGGGUUAUUCAAUCCAAAAAAAAAAAAUCAGCCAAGACUCUUUGGACAAAUUGCUUGAGUAAAACCAGAAAAUGAAUAACAAUUUUGAUGGAUUUUGAUUACAAAUGAAUUGAGGCAUAAUGCCAUUACAUAUACCAUGCAUUCAGCUGGUCAAAAUGAGACAGACAUCACCUAAUCAUCAACCUAACUCCACUAAGUAGCCUUGAAACUUAUGAAAACAUAACUUGCACACAUAGGUACGCUGAUUUAUCAAUCUAUCAGCACCUAAUUACAUCAAACAUGUUACCAACUUAGUUCAAAUCAAACUAAGCAAGAAAACAUUAACUUAAAGUAACAAAAAAUGAACAGCAGCAUGAACUUCAGCUGCAACUGCAUGGCUGGAGCAGCUCUGCUUCUUGUCUGCAUGCCGGCCAACUUCAACAAGAUCUGAGUAAGGCUAAUUUGUCCAGAAGUUGCAUCAUGCAAAACUAUUUAAUGGCUUUUAGGUAGCUUUGUCAACGGCAAAAAAAAUGAGAAAAUUAGUCAAAUUUCUUCCAUUUUUAUCUUUAAAAAUUUGGUUUUGUGCGUCAACAUGAAGUACAUGUGGCACGUACAUGCAAACUGUCUGAUUAUUUAGACAUCUACACUAGUUUUUAAAGGUAAAAAUAGAAGAAAAUUUUAAUAAACAAGACCAAUUAACUCUUUUAUCUAGCAUACAAGAAUUAUUCUAUACAUCUUUCAAUAAAUGGGGAAAAUUACAUCCACACAUUCUCCACAUUUCAGACCUGUAAUUCUAGCCAAUUGGUCACAAGCAUACAUGUCCCAUUUCAAUAUUCAAAGGUCUGCUUUGAUUAUUUUAUUUUGUGUUCUGUUGUCGCCCCAAAAUAGUUCCACUUGGCACAUCUCCAUACAUUUCAAACAUACCAAAAAUCUGCUGGCAAGCAAUACAAGACAAGUUCCAGCCACUUCAACAUUUGGCUCCUGUUCAUUGCCAAAAGAAAAAAAUAAACAUUUUUUAUAUUUAAUUGAAGGUCAAAAACACAUAAAAAGACAACCGGACAGCUAGUAUUUCAUCCAAUCUUCACAACAUGUCUGUGUGCGUGCAGAUCCUUCACUUCCCAGAAGCCUUUAGCGCGUAUUCUAUUAUAAAAUCACAGAUUACUAUUUAAAUGAUAAAUAAAUUAUUUAAAGUAUGAAAAUAUACAUGUUUUUUUUUAUUGGCUUAAGGGCGUAAAAAAUCCUUAAAUUUUUUUUUUAAAAAAGACAAUUAAAUUUCUCCUUUUUUUACACUCAAUUGAGCACUUAAAGUUUUAAAAUGCAUCAAAAAUACUCUCAAACUUCUUCCGAAAAAACAAUUAAAUCCUUAUUUUCUUUCCCACUCAAUUGGGUGCUUGAACUUUUUCAUAAUAUUUUUUUGGGCGAUUUAAUGAACCAUACAAGUUUCAAGGCUAAAAGAGGCAAAAGAAAAAGAAAAAGAAAAAGAAGCUAAAAUGACUUUUUGUUUGUAAAGUCAAAAAAUACCAAAUAAAUCAUUAUGUCUUUUUAGUUUUAAUUUUUUACUUGAUUAAAAGAGAAAUAAUUAACGAAUGAAAAAUAGCUAUUCCUAAAUAAAUUUAUCAGAAUUUAUAACAAAUGAGAUUUUAGAUUUGAAGUAUGAGGUUAUAUAUAUUAUAUAAGUAUACCUGUUUUUAUGGAAUCGGUGGAUUAUAUUUUCGACAGUCUUCUUCCCCAAGCGUAGUGAAUAGAGCACAAUUUUGUUCUUUUGGAUGGAAAAGAAUUUCUACAUUAAUUAGAUUUGGUUGACAGGCAAAUGAAUAGAUACACACAUUUUUUACGUGUUAUUAAGGAAGAAGACUAAGUCAAUCUACUUUGUAAUCUCAUCAAUCUUAAUUUUUUUAGUUGUUUAGGGAGUUCAAAUGAAAUACAAGAUUUUGCUAUAAAAAAAAAAAGCAUCCAAUUUUAAGAAUGAAAAAUAUACGGUAAAAAGAAGACUAAUGGUUGUUGAUGAUUGUGAAAAAUACAAAAAUUAUUUGUUGCCUAUAAAUACCAUUCCUAUCCUUCAUCUUCCUCUACAAACAUAACAUGGCCUCCUAUCUCUUUCUCUGCCUAUUCCUCUUCUUUCCCCAUCUUUAUGCUUCUUUUUCUUCUUCAGGAUCUCACUCCUGCUCUUCGCUAAUCCAGUUCAAGAAUUCUUUUUCCAUCACUCAGACAGAUGUUGCUUCUUCUUAUUGCGAUGAUCAAUCUUAUCCCAAGACAGAUUCAUGGAAGGAGGGUACAGAUUGCUGCUCAUGGGAUGGGGUCACUUGUGACCACCUAAAUGCUCGUGUUAUUGUCCUUGACUUGAGUUGCAGUUGGCUAUAUGGCAACUUCCCUUCCAAUACCACUCUCUUCCUUCUUCCUCACCUUCAAAAACUCAACCUUGCCUACAAUUAUUUUAAUCUUUCCAAAAUUCCAUCCGAGUUCGGUCGGUUUAUAAGCCUAUUCUACCUCAACCUUUCCAAUACAGGGUUUGCAGGAGAAGUCCCAUCCCAAGUCUCCCACCUGUCAAAAUUGGUUUCACUUGAUCUCUCCUGUCGGGCUGAUGCACAAACAAUUGACAAACAUGCUCUGGAGGGACUUGUUCACAACCUAACCGAGGUCAGACAUCUGUUUUUGGAUGGAAUCAACAUGUCUUCUGUUAAUGCUCAUGUCUUCAUGAAUCUAUCCUCUUCUCUAAGGUCUCUCAGUCUUGCUUUUUGUGAUUUGCAAGGAAAAUUCCCAAAAAACAUUUUUGAUUUGCCAAACCUCAAUCUCCUCAACUUGGGAGGCAACCAAAACCUCAAUCUUGAUCCUUUGAAGUUCAAUCGGAGCAGCAAUCUUGAACAUUUGGAUCUGUCGUGGAUGUCCUCCUCUACAGAAAUUGAUUCAGUUGAUAAUCUACAGGCCUUAAAGUACUUAGAUCUAUCAGGAAAUUCUUUCUUUCAAGGAUUGUCUGUCUCAAUCACAAAUUUAUCAUCUUUGGAGUACUUGAUUCUUAGAGGCGCAAAUGUUUUUGGAGGAUUGCCUGACUUGACGGGGAAUCUUGUGUCCUUGAAGUUUUUAGAUCUCUCCCAGUCCAACUUAUCAGGACCGGUUCCAAGAUCACUGGGAACCUCUUGCAACUCACUCAUUUAGACUUGUCGCAGAACCAAUUGAGUGGACAAAUUCCAAGAUUAUUGGGGAACCUCUUUCAACUCACUCAUUUAGACUUGUCGUGGAACCAAUUGAGUGGACAAAUUCCAAGAUCAUUGGGGAACCUCUUGCAACUCACUCAUUUAGAUUUGUCGAUGAACCAAUUGAGUGGACAAAUUCCAAGAUCAUUGGGGAUCAUUGGGGAACAUCUUGCAACUCACUCAUUUACUUGUCGGUGAACCAAUUGAGUGGACAAAUUCCAAGAUCAUUGGGGAACCUCUUGCAACUCACUCAUUUAGACUUGUCGGUGAACCAAUUGAGUGGACAAAUUCCAAGAUCAUUGGGGAACCUCUUGCAACUCACUCAUUUAGACUUAUUGGUGAACCAAUUGAGCGGACAAAUUCCAAGAUCAUUGGGGAACCUCUUGCAACUCACUCAUUUACAGUUGCCGGUGAACCAAUUGAGUGGAAAAAUUCCAAGAUCAUUGGGGAACCUCUUGCAUCUCACUCAUUUACACUUGCCGAUGAACCAAUUGAGUGGACAAAUUCCAUUGUCAAUUCUAAACCUAACGCAGCUGGAAUACUUUGUAAUAUCUAAAAAUUCUUUAGAAGGUUCCAUUCCAGAUGAGGUAACCGCUUUUCCUAAUCUAAUAUAUUUACACUUAAAUGACAAUUUACUCAAUGGAACAUUUCCGUCAUGGUUGUUUACUGCUCCCUCCUUAAAGGAAAUAUAUCUCUCUCAAAAUCAAUUCAGUGGGCAUAUCAAAGAAUUCCAAUCCAAAUCACUAGAAUUGAUAGCGUUACAGAAUAAUAAACUCCAUGGUUCUCUUCCAUCUUCAAUAUUCCAACUUCUCAAUCUUACCGACCUCGUUUUAUCCUCAAAUAAUCUUAGUGGUGUCAUAGAGUUUCGCAUGUUCUCAAACCUUCCAAAUCUAAAACAUCUCGACCUUUCAUAUAACAGCCUAUCCUUAACAUCUAAUACUACUUCUACUGUUAAUCAUAUAUUGCCUAAUCUUACAGGCUUACUUUUGUCAUCUUGCAAUCUUGGUGAAUUCCCCCAAUUUUUAAAAGGGCUUAAAAGUUUGGAAAGCUUAGACCUCUCUUGCAACAAAAUUGAAGGCAAGAUUCCACAGUGGAUGCAAGAGGUGGGGAAUGUCUCUUUGACUUACUUAAACGUAUCUCACAACUCUUUGACGAAGUUGAGCACUUUCCAUGGAAGAAUAUUGAAUUUCUUGACUUAAGCUCCAAUUUGAUCAGUGGAAAUCUUCCGAUUCCAGCUUCGACCAUCAAUGUCUUUUUGAUCUCAAAUAAUAGUUUCAAUGGAGAGGUCUCUUCUUUAAUAUGCAAUGCCAGUUCUCUUCGAAUUCUUGAUUUGUCCCACAAUAACUUGAGUGGAACAAUUCCGCAAUGUUUUGGAAAUUUGAGCAACAGCCUUGAAUUCUUGAAUCUGAAGAAGAACAUGUUUUAUGGGACGAUUCCUCCAACAUUUGCAAAGGGAUGCCAAUGGAGUAAUUUCAACUUAAAUGGAAAUUUGUUAGAAGGGCCUUUGACACCAUCCAUCCUUAAUUGUAAUGGUCUGGAAGUGCUAGAUCUUGGUAACAACAAGAUCAAUGAUACAUUUCCUCAUUGGUUGGGAAAUCUUCCAUAUUUGCAAGUUCUUGUAUUGAAGUUAAAUCAUAUGCAUGAUUCCUUGCGUGUCAAUAGCUCCAAGUCUAGCCCUUUUUUCUCUAAAAUCCAAAUUUUUGACCUCUCAAGUAAUUAUUUUACUGGACCCCUACCAGUGAGAUACAUCAACAGCUUCAAGGCUAUCAUAAAUCUAGAGAAGAUUGGGAGUACAUUGUUGUACAUGGGGGUGUAUGAUCGGAUUGCUAGUGGCUUCUAUACCUAUUCCAUUGGAAUUGUUAUGAAAGGACAAGAUAUGGAAUUGGUGAAAAUUUUCACCAUGUGGAUGAUCAUUGAUCUAUCAAACAAUCAGUUUGAAGGGGGUAUUCCAAAGGUUAUUGGGAAGCUUAACUUACUGAAAGGGCUCAACCUUUCUCAUAAUAACCUUAAUGGUGGUAUCCCCACCUCAACAGGGAAUUUGACAAGUCUUGAAUGGUUAUGUAGUUUUAGAUGUUAAGGAUAGGCUGUUAUAUGAAAGGUCGCGAUGUUUUAGAUUUGGAAGGUUUGAGAACAUGCGAAGCUCUAUGACACCACUAAGAUUAUUUGAGGAUAAGCUGAGGGAGGUAAGAUUGAGAAGUUGGAAUAUUGAAGAUGGAAGAGGACCUUCGAGUUUAUUAUUUUCUAGAUCUAAAUAUUCUAGUGAUUUGGUUUGGAAUUCUUUGAUAUGACGGAAGUGUUCCAUUGAGUAAAUUGUCAAAUAACACUAAAUAUAUUAGAUUCGGAACAGCGGUUACCUCAUCUGGAAUAGAACCUUCUAAAGAAUUUUCAGAUAUUUCCAAGUAUUCCAACUGCGUUAGGUUUAGAAUUGACAAUGGAAUUUGUCCACUCAAUUUGUUUGAUCCCAAGUCUAAAUGAGUGAGUUGCAAGAGGUUUCCAAGUGAUCUUGGACCGGUCCUGAUAAGUUGGAAUCGGAGAGAACUAAAAACUUCAAGGACACAAGAUUCCCCAUCGAGUCAGGCAAUCCUCCAAAAAAAUUUGCGCCUCUAAUAAUCAAGUACUCCAAAGAUGAUAAAUUUGUGAUUGAGGCAGACAAUCCUUGAAAGAAAGAAUUUCCUGAUAGGUCUAGGUACUUUAAGGCCUGUAGAUUAUCAACCGAAUCAAUGAAUUCUGUAGAGAAGGACAUCCACGACAGAUCCAAAUGUUCGAGAUUGCUGCUCCGAUUGAACUUCAAAGUAUCAAGGUUGAGGUUUUGGUUACGUCCCAAGUUGAGGAGAUUGAGGUUUGGCAAAUCAAAAAUGUUUUUUGGGAAUUUUCCUUGCAAAUCACAACCAGCAAGACUGAGAGACCUUAGAGAAGAGGAUAGAUUCAUGAACACAUGAGCAUUAACAGAAGACAUGUUGAUUCCAUCCAAAAACAGGUGUCUGACCUCGGUUAGGUUGUGAACAAGUCCCUCCAGAGCAUAUUUGUCAAUUGUUUGUUCACCAAACACAGAGGAGGAGAGAUCAAGUGAAACCAAUUUUGACAGGUGGGAGACUUGGGAUGGGACUUCUCCUGCAAACCAUGUAUAAGAAAGCUUGUAAACCGACCGAACUCGGACCUAUCUUCAAACAUAUUAAAUACCCAUUCACUUCAAUUCUACUAUUCUUAAAUCAUUAAAGUUUUGUGGAAAAUAUGCUUCUUGGAUAAAAAUUAUUCAACACACAUGCCUUGAAUUUUAUGCAAUAAAAUAAAUCAAUAUAGGCCACACAUGCUUUGAAUUUUUAAGUAGUCCACAAUUUUGUUCGUUUGUGUGCAAGAUUCUACAUUGCUUGACAGCCAUACAUACUAAGUAAAUAGACACCCACAUUGUUUACGUAUUAUGAGGAAGAAGAUUAAGUCAAUCUACUUUGUAAUCUCAUCAAUCUUAAUUUUCUCAGUUGUUUAGGGAGUUCAAAUGAAAUACAAAAUUUUGGAAAAAAAAUGUAUCCAAUUUUGUGAAUGAAAAAUAUAUGGUAAAAAGGAUUUGGUAUGGAUACUUCGGCCCGGGUAUCAAUACUCAGAGUAAGUUAAAGCAUCAGUGGAUGAAGAAGGAUCUGGUUGGUGCAAAUGAAGUUAAAGCAUUUGUGCUGUGUCUUCAUAAUUUCUUGUUUAGUAGUCUGUCAGAAAGUUUUUCCUAUGGUGAAAAGUUGCAUUGGUAUGUGUCUGUUUUUAUGAUUGUACCAAUUCCUCUGUAUUUCAUUGCAUUUCGUACUAUUUGUAAGGGUUUAGUUCGAGUGUAACAUCUUGUAUGGUGCAACUAUGUGUGUCUUCUUUCUUGAAUUUCAAUUUUUAGUAAACAUUGUACUGCUCACCAUAAAAAAGGAUACAUGUAGAAUUACAAAAGAUUCAAUUAUUCAAGUUUGAGUUGCAUUUAUAAAGACGUGGCGAUGAGAAUUCAUGAACGUAAGGUAUGGUUUGAGCCCUUUUGCCAUAUGCAUUUAUGUUGCAGAUGUUCAAAUAUUAAUUUAAGAGUAAUAUUUACAAUAGCAUUGCAGAGUAACAUAUUUAAGAUUGGAUUACACAGUCAAAAGAUUGCAGCAACGAUGAGAUUAAUACAAUUACAGGAAUUGGUAUCCUACAUGGCUUUUAGGCACGUAGCUUCAUUGACGAUGAGAUAAUUUUAGGAGGAAGCAACAGCAAGUGUGAAGUCAAUAGACAAUUGAUAGUCUUUAUUCUUUUGUGUGGAAAAUUAUUUGGGACCAAACUUAACGUGUUAUAAGGAAGAAGACUUUGUAAUCUCAUGAAUGUUAAUUAUUUUACUUCUUUGGUAAAAAAAAAGGAAUUAAUUUUAUGAAUGAAAAAUAUAUGGUAAAAAGGAAAUAGUUGUUGAUCACUAACAACAUGAUGAUUGUGGAAAUACAAAAAUUCCCAUAUAUGUGUUGAAUUCUGCAUAAUGUAAAUGUCCCGCAUUGCAUGUGAAUUCUGCAAUAGACCAAAUUUUACGUGUUAUAGUCCUUUAAACUGAGUUAAUGAAAAGUAAUCAUUCUUAUCAAAAUUAGUUAUACUCUUAAUUUAUAAUAAAAGAAAGAGUAAUUUGAGUUUAACUCAAAGGUUAAUAUGUCAUCAAUGGGCGAUGGCAUGGCGCUACCAUGUCAGCGAUUAUUUUCUUCUUUGAGUUAAGGUGAUUUCACCAAUUUUAGUUUACUUUUUAACUUCAAUUUAGGUUUAUGCUUAUUAGCUUCGAAGAUUCUAUGUGGGUGCCACAAUCAAAGGGUGAGUAAAAAGGGUUAAAAAUAAUUUUUUUUAAAAUAUUUUUAUUUUUAUUAAAAAUUUAGAAUUAGAAUUAGACAAAUUUUGUAAAUGUUAAGGGCUAACUUUAUUGAAUUUUUUUUUUCAGAAUUCGAACUAAAAUGACAAAUUUUGUAAAAAGCGCUAAAUUUGUUGAAUUUUUUAUAUUUAAGAUCAAAUUGAUAGAAUGUGUAAAUAUUAGAGGUUAAAUUCGUUAUUAGAUAAAAAAAAUCCACAUCAGCUUUCCGUCACUCAUCUAACGACAACUAAAGGGAGAGUGAUUAAAAUAUUUAAUUUCAAAAAGUUUAGCAACUAAUUGGAAAAUUUAAUAGUUGGGUGACUAUUUUUAUAGUUUACAACUUUUUUGGUCACAUGACUAUUAAGUGACACUUUUUAGUUGGUAUAAUAAUAAUUUUUAUCCUCAAUUUUUAUACUUUCUGUCAAUUUAACUCUAAUUAUAUAAAAUGAUUACAAAAGUGAAAUUCUUUUUAAAUUUUACAAAAUUCUAAAAAUUAAAAAUUAAAUGAAAGUAGAUAAAAAUUUCAAAUAUAAAUAAAGUGAGAGAAAAUGAGGGAAAUAUUAUUUUUAAACCCUCCAAAUUUUCUUUGUAUUAUUUGUAAAGAAAUAUCUAAUAUCCAUUCUUUUAGAAAACAUAGAAAAAAGUAAAAAAAAAAAAGAUUAAGUAAAAUUAUCUGUAUAUAAUCUGCUUUUAUAAUUUGGGUUUUUAAAAAUAAAUUUAAAUGAAUUGAAAAUUCGAAUUGAGUUUGAAAAAGAAAAUUUUGUGGUAUAUUUUAUAUUUUUGCUAGAAAAAUGGCAUCAAAGUUGAUUUUGUAAGCUUUUGUAAUAUAGUUACGGAUGUUCUUCAAGGGCAUGAAACUCAACUUGAAAAUUUUACUAAUUUGGUUGCAAAAAACAUUGAGGAAGCGUAUAAUGAUCUAACCUUUUUUUUGUUUUGUUCUGUUUUUAAUUUGUUAUGGGAUUCUAUUGAAUGAUAAUUUUUUUUAUUUCCCAUACAUAUUAGUUCUUCAACAACAACAUAUUCGAGAUUUUAUUUUUCUAGAAUUUUUAUAUAGAAGUUUAUAUUUUUUAAAAAUAAUUUUGAGUUUUUUUUAUAAUUUUUAUACAGAAGUUUAUAUUUUUUAAAUUGGCAAAAAAAAUUAUAAAAACAAAAUACUAGAAUUGUUAUUAUAGCAACUACAAAGUGUCAUUUAACAAUAGGGUGACCAAAUUGUAACUUUUUUCGUUAAGUGACCAAAACGAAGAUUUACCCAUAGUUCAGUGGCUAAUUAUGUAGUUUACCUUUUCAUAAUUAAAAAAUAGUUGUUAAGUUUUUCUUGUAUUAGAUAACAUUUUAGAUGGUAAAAACCCUCUUUAGUCCCUCUCAAUUUUGAUAUUAAGUAAAUUGGUCCAUUUUAAAAAAAAUUAAAGCAAUUUAAUCUUUGUUAAUUUCGAAAGUGAGCAACUAAGAACAAUUAAUCACAAUGUCAAUAUUUUCCAUCAAUUGUACAUAUUUUUAUUGGUAUAAUAACAAGUUUAUAAACUUGUUUACAUAUUCUGUCAAUUUGAUCUUGAUUUAACAAAUUUAUCCCGCAACAAUUACAUAUUCUAUUAACAUUUACAUAUAAUAUAUAAACAUCGAGAGCUUAUUUUGUUAUUAUAUCAAUAAAAAAUAUAUACAAUUUACAGAAAGUAUUAACACAAUGAUUAAUUGUUCUUAGUUGCUCCCAUUCAAAAUUGAUAAUGAUUAAAUUGCUCUAAUUUUCUGAGAGGAAUCAAUUUGUUCAAUAUAGAAAUUGAGAGGGACGAGAAAUGUGUUUUUAUCCAUUUUAGAUACCAACAAGUGUUUGGCGUAGUGGCAAAUCAUAUUACAUUCUCAAGGAGAUAAUGCGUAUUCAGACGUUGGAGAUAAUAAUGUUGUGUGCGGUAUCCACCGAUCUUGAACACGAAUUGUAAAACAUAUAUAAAGAAUAAAAAAAUAACAUCUUAAUUUAAAUAAUUAAUAAAUUUUAAUUUGAAAAAAUUAUUUUGAGAAACAUAAGUUUUAGUAAGUAGUAAAACUGAAUUAAUUUGAAUUUAAACUUAACGCAACUCGAUUUGAUUAUAAAGAAGUGAUAAUUUGAAUCCAAAAUGACAUGAUCUUAAAAUGAUUUGAAUUAAUUGUCAAACCCGAACGACAAAACUCGAAAUGAUGCAAUCCAAAAACGCUGGUUAAAAUGAUGCAAUCCAAUCGUAGUAAGUUUAACCUGCUGCUUUAGAUUUUGCAUUUUGGUUAAUUGGCUUGUGUUAUGUGUUUCUCUGGCAUCAGCCGAUAUGUGGAUUUGCCUCUCGUGAUGCACUACCAUUCAAGAAGCAUAAUGAUUUGUUCUACAUUGAUGACAAAGAUGUGGAGUUUAAAGAAGUAAGAACUGAUCAACAAUAUUCGAGGUUCUGUUGUAUGUUGCCUUAUUAAAUAAGUCUUCACUUAAAUUCCUAUGUUGCCUUAUGUAUGUAGGUUCUUGAGUCACCUUUACCAAAAGCACCACUUGAUACAUCUGUUACAUCCCACUGGCUUGCGAUUGAAGGCAUUCAACCAGCAAUUCCCGAAAAUGCUUCAAUUGAAGGUACCGUCUUAGCUAACCUAAAUAUUUUCUCGAAGCUAUUUGUGUUGAAUACUCUCAUGGUUCAUGUUCUUUUCUGGUUUUAUCACUUUAAUCUAAUACGACUUAUCUUCAUUUCUACAUGGAAUUGGUAGUUUGCUUUCCAUGCAGCACCUUCUGAUGGUAAAAAGGCUGAAUACAAAGAAGAUGGGCUUUCCGUUGAUGUCAAAUUACCUGUUAAGCAUGUAUUAUCUAGAGAGCUUCAAGUAUGUUGUACAUCUUCAGCAACAUUUUUAUGUUAAAAUACAUUUUGCACAGAAUGUUAUUAAAAGACUAAUUUGGUUGUCAUGCAGCUUUACUUUGACAAGAUCGUGGACAUUACCAUGAAUAAAUCAGUCUCAGUUCUCUUUAAACAAGCAUUACUGAGUUUGGCAACAGACUCGGGAUUACAUCCUUUAGUUCCUUAUUUUACAUAUUUCAUUGCGGAUGAGGUUGUCUUAAAGAUCUUUGAUACCUCAUUAUAUAUGUGUGUUGCAAAGAACUUUUGGUUGGUUAUCUCAAGCUUACAUUUUUGCCACAUUUAUCUCAGGUUGCACGGAAUUUGAAUAAUUUCCCUCUCAUGUUUGCUUUGAAGCGUAUUUGCAGCUUCUUGAACCUGAAAUAAAAAGACACGAGGCCUGGUGUGUUUAUGGGGCCCUGCUGGUAAGUUUAACAUCAAAUUUGGUACCAGUUUAUGAGCAUCGUUUCAUUUAUUUGCUGUAGAACUAACAACACUGCAUAAAAUUUCCACUAACAGCGUGCAGCUGGACUGUGCAUGUAUGAUCGGCUUAAAAUGUUCCCCAGUUUGCUAGCACCCCCAACUCGUCCCAUCUGGAAAAGCAACAACAAAGUUGCGACAAGUAUGAUUUCUUCGAACCAUCAUAUUUACACUUAAUCCACAAGUCUCUUCUCCCCCUUUACGAUAUUCCUUUUUCUGAUCAAUCAAGAUAAACGAAAAGCAAGCACGGACACCUUGAUGCAGCAGCAACCACCUGCCAAGAAAAUAGCAACUGAGAGUGCAAUAGGUAUGAUGCCGAUAAAUUCCACGCAAACUGAUUUACAAGGGGCAGUUAGCGGCUUUUCUACCACCGUAGGAGGUUCCAAUAUCGGUGUAUCAUCAAUGUCACGGCCGUUAUCAAACGAAAACAUGCUAGGAAGGGAGGUUGGGGGUCGAGUUUCAAAGACAUCAACCGUUCUAGCUCAGGCUUGGAAGGAAGACACAGACCCGGGGAACUUGUUAGCAUCAUUAUUUGAACUUUUUGGUGAAAGUAUGUUAUCAUUUACUCCCAAACCUGAGCUUUCAUUCUUCCUUUGAUUAAAUUUCACCUCCAAAAGCUAUGGUUUUUGAAGGAAUUUGUGUAAAUUAUCCCCAUAUUCUUUUCAUUCUUACUGUGUUUAUCUUUGUAAGUCUUCCUUUUUUCCUUGCUCAUAAAUGUAUUGUAGUUAUCAAAAAAUAUAUUCUACUUUGGAUUUUAUUUAUAUUAAAAUUUAGGUUAAAUUCUGCUAUUAGUCUCUGUACUUUACGAAAAUGAUGGAUUUAGUCCUUAUACCUUAAUUUGAUCAAUUUUAGUCAUUGUAUUUUUUGAAUUGGUCAAUUUUAAACCAUUUACUUUUUGAAUUUUGAAAUUUUAGUCUUGAUUCAAAUAAUAUUAAUAAUAAUUAAUACCUAAACAAUGCUCCUUUUCCCAAGGUACCUAAUUUUUAUUUUGGCCAUAAGUAUUACUAAAACUAUUCUUCCAUUACUCAUUUUACACCAAAAUGUUAUAUCGGCUAAAAAGAUUCCAACAAAUAAUAGAUUGUAUGUCAUAUAAGCUUUUAAAAAUAAUUAUUAAUUAAUUAAUUUUUUUAUAUUUUUCUUUCUUAUUCCUUUAUAAUGUUUGACAAUGCCGAUAAUGUUUGAAAUUGGCCCACUUGAGGUCGAAACGUUGGUGAUUAAUUUUGGUUUUGAAUUUCACCACCUACUUCUCUGACCUGAGGGAAACUAGUGUUUUCAAAAACAGAUUGAUUCAACUAGUUGGAUAGGAAAUCGGUCCGGAAAUAGGGGUUGAAUCGAUUGACUUGCGAACAAAAACAAAUCGGUUGAACUAGUUCUCUCCAUUUAUAUUUAUAUAAAUAAUAAUAGUUUUUUUUUACUACAUGUCAAUUUUUAAUUGGUUAAUUUUUUUUUUCAUAUAAACUGAACGGUUUGACUAAUGACGGAGGUACCAAAUUUUAGUCUAGGUACCAAUUUAUGGGUUAAGCCUAUUUCUAAAAUAGACUUUUGACUAAUGGCAGUAGUAACUUGGGAAAAAAAAGUAGUUUAUGUACCACUUGUGACAAAAAAUAAGUUUAGGUACCAACAUGGGAAAAUGAGUAUAAUUUAGAUACCGAUUUAUGAGUUAAGCCUAAUAUAUUUGUCGCAUCAUUUUUUGAAAAUAACAAAACUUAAUAAAUUUAACGGUUAUUGUUUGGUGAUGACUAAAAUUUUAAAAUUUGAAAAGUAGAUGAACUAAAAAUGACCAAAUUAAAGUAUAAAGAUUAAGUCCACAACUUUUGCAAAGUAUAAGGACUAAUAGCAGAAAUUAACCUAAAUUUCAUAUGGGUCAAUUACAAAAAUAAUCACUAAACUAUUCCUUUAGUUCUAUUCUAGUCACUCAACUAUAGAGGUGCUCAUGAGCCUGGCCAGGUCAGGCCUAAGCAUGAUAUUAAAGUACUUUAUGCUUGCUCAAGCUCGGCUCGGCCCAAAAUAUGAGCUUAAAAUUUUGCCUAAACUCAUCCAUAUUUGCAAAAGACUAACCCAAGCUCAUUUUAGGCAUGCCCAUAUAAUUUUUAGUUUUUUUUUUAAAUAUUUAUAUUAUAUUAUUUUAAUAUUUAAUAAUUUAAAUAUUUUUUAUUUAUUGAAAAUUUUUAUAUAGUCAUCUUAACAUUAUUUUAAUGUUUACAUUAUAGUAUUAUUAUAUAUUUAAUAUAAGUUUAUUUUUUUAAUCUGUUCUAAAUUAUAAAAUAUAAAGUAUUAUACACUUAAAAAUGGGCCGGGCUGGGCUCGAGCUUUGAAUGUUCAAGCCUAAACCCAGCUCAUAUUUUAAACGGGCCUAAUUUAUCACCCUUUGAUUUAUCAAAAUUUAUAACAAAUGAGAUUUUAGAUUUGAAUUAUGAGGCUAUAUAUAUAUAUAAGUAUACACAUUUUUAUGAAAUACAAAAUUUUGCUAAAACAAAAAGCAUAUAAAAGUAUACACGUUUUUAUGAAAUAAAAGAAAAAGCAUCCAAUUUUGAGAAUGAAAAAUAUAUGGUAAAAGCAUCCAUAACUUUUCAAUGUUAAAGAAAAAAAAGACUUAACACCAAUGUUGUGGUAUUAUUUGUUGCCUAUAAAUACCAUUCCUAUCCUUCAUCUUCCUCUACCAACAUAACAUGGCCCCCUGUCUCUUUCUCUGCCUAUUCCUCUUCUUUCCCCAUCUUUAUGCUUCUUUUUCUUCUUCAGGAUCUCACUCCUGCUCUUUACUAAUCCAGUUCAAGAACUCUUUUUCCAUAACAGAGGCUGCUUAUUCGUCUUGCGGCCCUAAAUCUUAUCCCAAGACAAAUUCAUGGAAGGAGGGUACAGAUUGCUGCUCAUGGGAUGGGGUCACUUGUGACCACCUAAAUGCUCAUGUUAUUGCCCUUGACUUGAGCUGCAGUUGCCUAUAUGGCACCUUCCCUUCCAAUACCACUCUCUUCCUUCUUCCUCACCUUCAAAAACUCAACCUUGCCGGCAAUGAUUUUAAUCUUUCCAAAAUUCCAUCCGAUUUCGGUCAGUUUACAAGCCUAUUCUACCUCAACCUUUCUUAUACAGGGUUUGUAGGAGAAGUCCCAUCCCAAGUCUCCCACCUGUCAAAAUUGGUUUUACUCGAUUUCUCCUCUUGGCCUGCUUUCUCUAUGCAAUAUAGAAUGGACAAACAUGCUCUGGAGGGACUUGUUCACAACCUAACCGAGGUCAGACAUCUGUUUUUGGAUGGAAUGGACAUGUCUUCUGUUAAUGCUCAUGUCUUCAUGAAUCUAUCCUCUUCUCUAAGGUCUCUCAGUCUUGCUGGUUGUGGUUUGCAAGGAAAAUUCCCAAAAAACAUUUUUGAUUUGCCAAACCUCAAUCUCCUCUACAUGGGAGGCAACCAAUUGAGUGGACAAAUUCCAAGAUCAUUGGGGAACCUCUUGCAGCUCACUCAAUUAGACUUAUCGGGGAUCCAAUUGAGUGGACAAAUUCCAUUAUCAAUUCUAAACCUAACGCAGCUUGAAUACUUAGGCUUAUCUGACAAUUUACUAACCUAAUAUAUUUAGGCUUAUCUGACAAUUUACUCAACGGAACACUUCCGUCAUGGUUGUAUACUGCUCCCUCCUUAAAGACAAUAUAUCUCUCUCAAAAUCAAUUCAGUGGGCAUAUCAAAGAAUUCCAAUCCAAAUCACUAGAACGGAUAUGGUUAGAGAAUAAUAAACUCCAAGGUCCUCUUCCAUCUUCAAUAUUCCAACUUCUCAAUCUUACAUCGCUUGCUUUAUCCUCAAAUAAUCUUAGUGGUGUCAUAGAGUUUAGCAUGUUCUCAAACCUUCCAAAUCUCAAAUAUCUCCACCUUUCAUGUAACAGCCUAUCCUUAACAUUUAAUACUACUUCUACUGUUAAUCUUACAGACUUAUUUUUGUCAUCUUGCAAUCUUAGUGAAUUCCCCAGUUUUUAAAAGGGCUGAAAAGUUUGGAAAGCUUAGACCUCUCUUGCAACAAUAUUGAAGGCAAGAUUCCACAGUGGAUGCAAGAGAUGGGGAAUGACUCUUUGACUUUCUUAAACGUAUCUCACAACUCUUUGACAGAAGUUGAGCACUUUCCAUGGAAGAAUAUUGAAUUUCUUGACUUAAGCUCCAAUUUGAUCCGUGGAAAUCUUCCGAUUCCAGCUUCGACAAUCAAUGUCUUUCUGAUCUCAAAUAAUAGAUUCAAUGGAGAGGUCUCUUCUUUAAUAUGCAAUGCCAGUUCUCUUCAAAUUCUUGAUUUGUCCCACAAUAACUUGAGUGGAACAAUUCCACAAUGUUUUGGAAAUUUGAGCAACAGCCUUGAAUUCUUGAAUCUGAAGAAGAACAAGUUUUAUGGGACGAUUCCUCCAACAUUUGCAGAGGGAUGCCAAUUGACUAAUUUCAACUUAAAUGGAAAUCUGUUAGAAGGGCCCUUGACACCAUCCAUCCUUAAUUGUAAGGGUCUGGAAGUGCUAGAUCUUGGUAACAACAAGAUCAAUGAUACAUUUCCUCAUUGGUUGGGAAGUCUUCCACAGCUACAAGUUCUUGUAUUGAAGUCAAAUCAUAUGCAUGGUCCCUUAUGUGUCAAUAGCUCCAAGUCUAGCCCUUUUUUCUCUAAAAUCCAAAUUUUUGACCUCUCAAAUAAUUAUUUUUCUGGACCCCUACCAGUGAGAUACAUCAACAGCUUCAAGGCUAUCAUAAAUCUAGAGAAGAUUGGGAGUACAAUGUCGUACAUGGGGAUGAAUGAUCCUCAAGGUGGCUUCUAUACCUCCAAAUGUGCUUGAAAAAGAUGGCCCAAAAUCAAACAUUACUUUUGGUUGGAAAGUGGUGUUGAUAGGUUAUGGAUGCGGAGUGGUGUUCGGAAUGUCCGUGGGAUAUGUUGUUUUCCAAACUGGUAAGCCGAAAUGGUUGGUGAAUUUGGUUGAAAUCCAACAUGAGAAGAAGUGAAGACGAAAGUCAAAGGAUGGCAGCCGCAGCAAUGGACGAAGAAGGAUCUAGUUAGUGGAAAUGGUGCUCAAGUGUUGAUGUUGUAUCUUCAUAAUUUCUUGUUUUGAAGUCUUUCAAUUUUUUUCCUAUGGUGAAAGGUUGCAUUGCCAUGCAUCUGUCUUUAUUAUUGUAACCAUUCAUCUAUAUUUCACUGCAUUAUGCAGUAUUAUGUCUUCUUUCAUGACUUUGAUUUUUGAGUCUCAAUAAUCUCUGCAUUCAAGAUUUUGUCAGCUUAUUAAUUGGUGGAUCAAUAAUCUUCAUGCUCAUCUCAUCAUCUUUUUCUCGAGUUAAACACAAUUUCUUCCGUGUGGAAAAUAAUUUGGCAUUCUGCAAAUUUCCACAAUGCUGGUAGAUUACCUUCGGUUGACAGCUAUACAUAUCAAGGAAGGAAACAAGACCAUGUCAAAAUUUUCAAAAAUUAGCCAUUGAUUUUGAACAGUUAAACUUUCGUAUUCUAUUGUUCAAAAUUGUAAAUUCUCGAAUAAUGUAAAUUAGUCCUAAAACUCAAGUUUUGAAAUCUUUACAAUUUAACCCCUUAUAGUUUCAAACUUUACUAUUUUAUGCUCAACUUUCUAAAUUUUCAUAUUUCAUGAUCAUAUAAUUUAGUUACUACAUCAAUAUUUCAGAUUUCACUACUCAAAUCCUUACUUCAAAUUUAUCAAAUUAAAUCAUUUUUCAAUUUGAAUGCAUUGAUGUGAAAUUGAGGGAGCACUAAACAAUGUUGAUGCGAGUUUAGGCAAAAUUGGUGGAUCCCAUCUCCUUAGUAAUUUCUUUAUGGAAGUAGCUGCUUUCACACUGCAAACUUGGAUAGUUUGUGGUGGACGAUGAUGAAUCAUUUCACAAUCAAACAUACCAUUUUUAAACACAAAAUUAAUGAUAUAUUGAAAUCAUUAUUGAAAUUGUAAUCAAAAUUAAUACAUGUUUUUUUUAUUAGCUUAAGGGCGUAAAAGCCCUUCAAAAUUUUUAAAAAAAAAAUUUAAGUCCCUCUUUUUUUUUUCUUUUUUUUUUACACUCAAUUGAGCACUUAAACUUUUAAAAUGUAUCAAAAAUAUCUUUACACUUCUUCAAAAAAAGCAAUUAAACCCCCCUUUUUUUUUCCACUCAAUUGGGUACUUGAACUUUCAUAAUGCAUAAAAAAAACCUUAAUUUUUUUUUCAAAGAAACAAUUAAGCCUCUAUUUUUUCCCCACUCAAUUUGGGUACUUGAACUUUCAUAAUGCAUCAAAAAGGCCUUAAAUUUUUUUCAAAAAAGCAAUUAAGCCCCUACUCUUAUUAAAAAUUAGAAAAAGAAUCAUAAAAAUAAUAAAUUUUAGAAAAAAAUUAUUAAAUUUUAAUAAAAAUUUAAAAACUUAUUAAAAAUUAGAAUUUUUUUAGAAAAAUAGUCAAAACUAAAAAAUUAUAAAAAUCAUAAAAAAAAUCCAUCAAAAGUCCUUUUAACAAUUAACUUUAAAUAUUGAUCGUUAAAGUUAACGACCUCUAGUUUUUUCAAUUAAAGUCAUUAUGUGUCGCAACUCAACAUGACAUAUAGCGAAAAUAGAUAAAAAAGUAAAAAUCAAUAAAAGUUAUAGAAAAAUUAUAAAAAAUUUCUUUUGGUACAAUAAUUUUUAUAAAAUUUUUUUUUACCAAAUUUAUAUUUCUUUACAAUUUGUAUAAUUUUCUUAUGACUUUAUAAAAUUUUAUAAUUUUUUAUAUUUCUAUAUAUUUUUUAAAUUUUUAAAUUUUUAUAAAAUUUUACAAUUUUUAUAUAUUUUUUAAUAAUUUUUAAUAUUUGAAUUUUUUAUUAAAAUUUAAUAAUAUUAUAGAUUUUAUUGAUUUUAAUUUUUUCUCUAAUUUUUAAUAAAAGUAGGGGCUUAAUUGCUUUUUUUGAAAAUGUUUGAGGGCCUUUUUGAUGUAUUUUGAAAGUUCAAGUUCCCAAAUGAGUGUUAAAAAAAAAAGAACAGGGGUUUAGUUGCUAUUUUUGAAAACGUUUCUUUUUGUACCCUUAAACCUCUUUUGUUUUUCUAAAUUUAAUUUAGAACCAACUUUGUGUAAAGAAAAUUUCCAGUCUGGUGGAAAAUACAAAUUUUUCCACAUCCAAUCUGGGUCUUUGUCGUGAUUUGUUGGUUGGCUAUGGCCUUGUUGUUGUUUCCACUGCCUCUGGUCUUUGUUUCUAAGUCAUAUGUGGCCUUGUUUGGUAGACCUUAGUUGCUAAGUUAAAGGGAGUGAAUAGAGCACCAUAAAAAAAAAUACAUGUAGAAUUACAAAAGAUUCAAUUAUUCAAGUUUGAGUUGCAUUUAUAAACACGUGAUGAUGAGAAUUCAUGAACAUAAGGUAUGGUUUGAGCCCUUUUGCCUUAUGCAUUUAUGUUGCAGAUGUUCAAACAUGGAAUAAUUCAACCUGCCUUUGUGUAUUCUUAAUUUUGUGCCAAACCUAAAUAUCUAUCGACAAAUUUAAGAGUCAUAUUUACAACAGCAUUGCAGAGUAACACAUUUAAGAUUCGAUUACACUGUCAAAAGAUUGCAGCAACGAUGAGAUUAAUCCAAUUACAGGAAUUAAUAUCCUAAAUGGCUUUUAGGUACGUAGCUUCAUUGACAACAUGAUAAUUGUGGAAAUACAAAAAUUCCCAUAUAUGUGUUGAAUUCUGCAUAAUGUAAAUGUCCCGCAUUGCAUGUGAAUUCUGCAAUAGACCAAACUUUACGUGUUAUAGUCCUUUAAACUGAGUUAAUAAAAAGUAACCAUUCUUAUCAAAAUUCGUUAUACUCUUAAUUUAUAACAAAAGAAAGAGUAAUUUGAGUUUAACUCAAAGGUUAAUAUGUCAUCAAUGGGCGAUGGCGUGGCGCUACCAUGUCAGCGAUUAUUUUCUUCUUUGAGUUGAGGUGAUUUCACCAAUUUUAGUUUACUUUUUUACUUCAAUUUAGGUUUCAGCUUAUUAGCUUCGAAGAUUCUAAGUGGGUGCCACAAUCAAAGGGUGAGUAAAAAGGGUUAAAAAAUGAUUUUUUUAAAAAUAUUUUUAUUUUUAUUAAAAAUUUAGAAUUUGAAUUAGACAAAUUUUGUAAAUGCUAAAGGCUUUAUUGAAUUUUUUUUUCAGAAUUCGAACUAAAAUGACAAAUUUUGUAAAAAGCGCUAAAUUUGUUUAAUUUUUAUAUUUAGGAUCAAAUUGAUUGAAUGUGUAAAUAUUAGAGGUUAAAUUUGUUAUUAGAUCAAUAAAAAAAAACCCACAUCAGCUUUCCGUCACUCAUCUAAUGAAAACUAAAGGGAGAGUGAUUAAAAUAUUUAAUUUCAAAAAUUUUAGCAACUAAAUUGGAAAAUUUAAUAGUUGGGUGACUAUUUUUGUAGUUUACAACUUUUUUGGUCACCUGACUAUUAAGUGACACUUUUUAGUUGGUAUAAUAAUAAUAAUUUUACUCCUCAAUUUUUUAUACUUUCUGUCAAUUUAACUCUGAUUAUAUAAAAUGAUUACAAAAGUAAAAUUCUUUUUAAAUUUUACAAAAUUCUAAAAAUUAAAAAUUAAAUGAAAGUAGAUAAAAAUUUCAAAUAUAAAUAAAGUGAGAGAAAAUGAGGAAAAUAUUAUUUUUAAACCCUCCAAAUUUUCUUUGCAUUAUCUGUAAAAAAAUAUCUAAUAUCCAUUCUUUUAGAAAAUAUAGAAAAAAAGUAAAAAAAGAUUAAGUAAAAUUAUCUGUAUAUAAUCUGCUUUUAUAAUUUGGGUUUUUAAUAAUAAAUUUAAAUGAAUUGAAAAUUCGAAUUGAGUUUGAAAAAGAAAAUUUUGUGGCAUGUUUUAUAUUUUUGCUUGAAAAAUGGCAUCAAAGUUGAUUUUGUAAGCUUUUGUAAUAUUAGUUACGGAUGUUCUUCAAGGGCAUGGAACUCAACUUGAAAAUUUUACUAAUUUGGUUGCAAAAAACAUUGAGGAAGCAUAUAAUGAUCUAACCUUUUUUUUUUUGUUUUGUUCUAUUUUUAAUUUGUUAUGAGAUUCUAUUGAAUGAUAAUUUUUUUUAUUUCCCAUUCAUAUUACUUCUUCAACAACAACAUAUUCGAGAUUUUAUUUUUCUAGAAUUUUUAUAUAGAAGUUUAUAUUUUUUAAAAAUAAUUUUGAGUUUUUUUAUAAUUUUUAUAUAGAAUCGAGGUAAAUUGGCAAAAAGAAUUAUAAACAUAGAAUACUAAAAUUGUUAUUAUAUUAACUAAAAAGUGUCAUUUAACAAUAGGGUGACCAAAUUGUAAUUUUUUUAGUUAAGUGACCAAAACGAAGAUUCACCCAUAGUUUAGUGGCUAAUUAUGUAGUUUACCCUUUCAUAAUUGAAAAAAUAGUUGUUAAGUUUUUUGUAUUAGAUAACAUUUUAGAUGGUGAAAACCCUCUUUAGUCCCUCUCAAUUUUGAUAUUAAGUAAAUUGGUCCAUUUUUAAAAAAAUCAAAGCAAUUCAAGGAGAAUGCAUAUUCAAGCGUUGGAGAUAACAAUGUUGUGUGGGGUAUCCACGGAUCUUGAACACGGACUAUAAAACAUAUAUAAAGAAUAAAAAAAUAACAUCUUAAUUUAAAUAAUUAAUAAAUUUUAAUUUGAAAAAAGUAUUUUGAGAAACAUAAGUUUUAGUAAGUAGUAAAAUUGAAUCGAUAAAAAUGUUCGGUAUAUCAGAAUCAUAAAAAUACAACCUAAUUAAUUUGAAUUUAAACUUAACUCAACUCGAUUUGAUUAUAAAAAACUGAUAAUUUGAAUCCAAAAUCACAUGAUCUUGAAAUGAUUUGAAUUAAUUGUCAAACCCGAACGACAAAACUCGAAAUGAUGCAAUCCAAAAACACAAAUCAAGUGAACUAAACUAUGAAAGAAAAAAAAAAAACCUUACACCGACUCAAAUCCAAAAUAAUUUAAUCCUAAAAUAACCCAAAUUUUAUAUAAUAUAAACUCGAAAUAACCCGAAAAUUUUUAAAUUAAAAUUGACCCGAGCCAAAUUCACACCACCUAAAAUCAAUCAUAACCACCUAAUUAAAAAGCAUGAAAUGAAAUGAUGUAAAGAGAAAAUCAGAGAAAACCAAAUAGAAAGUAACAAGCUUUUUUCAGAAUUGAAAACAAAUUCCGUACAUUCACGACAUGCAUAAAACAACAAUGGUUUAUAGAAUUUGAGUUUUAGUCCCUGUACUUUAAAAGUUAAUUUUUCUUAAUUUAAAAAUUUUAGUUUAAUUAUUUAUGAUGGUUGUAGUUUCCGUUAGCUUAUCAACAUGUUAAAUUACUAAAUUUUGACAGAAAAUACUUACGAGUUUAAUGAUUAUUGCGAGAUUUUUAAAUAAAAAAGUUCGAAAGACUUAAUUUCUAACCUUUUAAAUAUAGGGACUAAAAGCAUCUUUUAACUUUGAUAUUAUUAUUAUAAGCAGGGAUAAUGUCACCUUUGGCAUCUGUACUUUCAUAAAAUGUUUAGUGGUACAAGUACUUUGAAAAUAUAUAAUGUGGUACCUGAACUAUCAAUAUGUGUUAUUAUUAUGGUACAUGUACUUUGAAAAUGUUUAAUGUGGUACCUAAACUAUCAAUAGAUGUUUUAUUAUGAUACUUGGUAAAGACGGACUAUUAUGGUGGCUUAGGGGGCUCUUUGUCCCGUCUCCCCUGCAAAAAAAAAAAAAAGAGUUCGGAGAAUUUUAUUUUUUCCUUUGAAAUCUUUAGAAAAUUUCAAUUAAGCCCCCAAAAUUUUUGAAAAUUUUCAUUAUACCUUUUAAUUUUUUUUUGAAAAUUUUAAUUAAGCACUUUUAAAAUUUUGAAAAUUCUCAUUAAUCUCACAAAAAAUUUAAAAUUUUUUAUUAGACCCCCAAAAUUUUUUUUUUAAAAAUCUUAUUAAACCAUUAAAUUUUUAGAAAAUUUUACUUGCCCCCUCCCCCCCCCCCCCAAAAAAAAAAACCUAGUUCCAACUCCCAGUAUCCGCCAUUGGUACUUGGUAUUAACACUAUUAGAAAAUUGCUAAAUCAACUAAUGAAAAUUUGACACAUAGAACCCUUUUUUUUUUAAUUAUCAAGUCCACGUGGAUAAUAUAAUAGUGAAAAACUAAAUAAAACAAUAAUUAAAUGAAAUUAAAAAAACAAAUAACUAAACAUAUGGUUAAUAAAAAAAACCCGUACUUUCAAAGAUAAUAAAAAAUAUUAUUUAAAAAUCAAUUGAAAAUAUUAUUUUAAAGGGAAAACUCUUUGGAGAAGAUGAUCAUUUGCUUAAAUGGAGAAUAUAAUAUUUUUGGUUAUGUAAAUUUAAUUUAAUUGUUUUAUUUAGUUUUCACAUAAUGUUAUUUUAUACAUGUGGACUUGAUGAAUUAGAAAAAGAAAAAUUGCGUGUCAAAUUUUCAUUUGUUGGUCUAACAAUUCAUUAAUGGUGUUAACAUUAAGUACCAUAAUAAAACAUAUAUUGAUAGUUCAUGUACCACAUUAGACAUUUUCAAAGUACGAAUACUACAUUAGACAUUUUAUAAAAAAUACAUGUACUAUAAUAGAACACAUAUUAAUAAUUUAGAUACACAUUAAACAUUCUAUGAAAUUACCAUUACGAAAUGUGAUAUUAUCUCUUACAAGUAUUUGAUGAGUAGGUAUAUAAGGACAAGCAGAACCACAAUUCCAAUGACAGCUAAAGGCAUGCACAUACACGACAAUCCGCCAUUGAUGUGCUUGUUCAUAAUUACCAUGUUUUUCUGCACUCUCUGAUACAACAAAGAAAAGAAAACACAAUACAAAAUUAAAACUCUAAACAACCCAAAAUUUUUUCGGGCCAGAAAUGGUCCGAAAAUUUUAAGGGUAAACUAUAUUGGUAGCCACCUAACUAUUAAUAAAUUUCUUAGUUACUCAACUAUGAAAAGAUAUUUUUGUAUAUUUUCGAUGAAGAUUUGUUAUUUUUAUUUAUUAUUAAUAAACUUGUUCUUUUUAGUCCAUUUUUGUCAUUGUAGUAAUUUAUCAUCAAAUUUGGGAAAGAAUGCCCCAUUUCUAAUACAUGAUUAUCAUAUCAAAUUGUAGUUAUUCCUAUCUAGUAAUAAACUAACCCCAAUUUAGUCUGAAAGUAGUUAAAUCACUUAAGUUUGUUGCUUAGUUUUGUUGAUAUGGACAAUUAAAAAAAUCAUAAUAUAUAUUUCCAACAAAUAUUUUCGAUAAGAUAAACUCAAAAGUAAUUCUCAAAAUUGUAGAGAAUUUUAUUACUGGAGUGAAAAAAACAUUACGAAUCAGUAAAAUAAAGUAUCGUGAAGAAAUGAUAGAGAGGAAAAUUGAAACAAACCUUGAAAAAUAAGUGUGGUUGUAAGUAAGAUGCUGGAAGCAAUAGAGGGCUGAGAAAAGUGAGAGCUACAAUGAUUGUCGUGAUUGUAGAAAGAAACGUACAGAGAGAAUUGUUAGAAUACUCAAGUUUAUGGAGAGAAUUGAGAGGGUUUAGUGUUCCCAAAAAGAAGAAGGAAAAACACAUAUAUCAUAAUGAGGUUACACUCACGUCUUAUUUAUGGUAAGCAAAGCAUUACUUAUAUGGUUUCUGUUUAACGAGAAAGGGAAGAACUUGUAUUAGAGGAAAGUGUUAAGAAGUGUCUUCUUAACAAUGUCUGUGUUUUGAGCUUCCAAGAUAUGCACUUAAGGCAUCUCAAUAGAGGAGCAAUUCAAUAAUUAUACCAAUCUUUCGGGACUAACUCUACAACCUUUGCAUAGUUGCAAUCCAAGAAUCCUGCAACCUUCUAAGGCUAGCUACACAACAUUUACGUAUUUGCAUGUAUUUUUUUUUCCAUAACACCAACUCCAACAACUUCACUUUUAUUUAUCGAAAGAAAUUGUAUUUCUUGAAACUAUUAUUUACAAAAUAUUAUUAACCAAAAUCAAGUAUCCACAAUAAUUAAUACUAAUUAAUUCAAAGAUUUUCAAUGCUAAGAAUGGAACCCAAAUUCAGCCUUUGCUACUAACCUACUAAUAAACAAAAAAAAAAUAUAUAUAUAAUAUAUAUAGGUGAAGUUAGAAAGUUUAAAAUUGAAUUAUAAAUUUUUAAAAGAGUAAAAGUUGUUAUACUAACUUAAAAUUUUAUAACUUUUUAAUUUUGUGGAGCUAAAAUCUUUGCCUAUCCUCUAACAGUGCUCAGUAUUUCUCUCAUAAUUUUUUAUUUUUUAUUAUUCUUUUUCCUUUUUAGUUGAAAAUAGUGCUAAUUAAUGUUAUUUGUUAGUAUAAUUUUGUUAGAAUCUUAUGAAUCUUUCAUGAUGUACUAUAUCUUGAUUUGUUAGGCUAAUGUGAUAAUUUCUACUUCAUGUGUAUUAAUCCAUAAAUUUUAUCAAAAGUGGAAUUUUGAAAACUUAGUUUUGGAAGUUUGAAUAUUAAGUUUAACCUCCUGCUUUAGAUUUUGCAUUUUGGUUAAUUGGCUUGUGUUAUGUGUUUCUCUGGCAUCAGCCGAUAUGUGGAUUUGCCUCUCGUGAUGCACUACGAUUCAAGAAAGCCGCUGGGCAUAAGGAUUUGUUCUACAUUGAUGACAAAGAUGUGGAGUUUAAAGAAGUAAGAACUUAUCAACAAUAUUCGAGGUUCUGUUGUAUGUUGCCUUAUUAAAGAAGUCUUCACUUAAAUUCUUCUAUGUUGCCUUACGUAUGUAGGUUCUUGAGUCACCUUUGCCAAAAGCACCACAUGAUACAUCUGUUACAUCCCACUGGCUUGUGAUUGAAGGCAUUCAACCAGCAAUUCCAGAAAAUGCUUCAAUUGAAGGUACCGUCUUAGCUAACCUAAAUAUUCUCUCGAAGCUAUUUGUGUUGAAGACUCUCAUGGUUCAUGUUCUUUUCUGGUUUUAUCACUUUAAUCUAAUACGAUUAUCUUCAAUUCUACAUGGAAUUGGUUCUGAUGGUAAAAAGGCUGAAUACAAAGAAGAUGGGCUUUCCGUUGAUGUCAAAUUACCUGUUAAGCAUGUAUCAUCUAGAGAGCUUCAAGUAUGUUGUACAUCUUCAGCAACAUUUUUAUGUUAAAAUACAUUUUGCACAGAAUGAUAUUAAAAGACUAAUUUGGUUGUCAUGCAGCUUUACUUUGACAAGAUCGUGGACAUUACCAUGAAUAAAUCAGUCUCAGUUCUCUUUAAACAAGCAUUACUGAGUUUGGCAACAGACUCGGGAUUACAUCCUUUAGUUCCUUAUUUUACAUAUUUCAUUGCGGAUGAGGUUGUCUUAAAGAUCUUUGAUACCUCAUUAUAUAUGUGUGUUGCAAAGAACUUUUGGUUGGUUAUUUCAAGCUUACAUUUUUGCCACAUUUAACUCAGGUUGCACGGAAUUUGAAUAAUUUCCCUCUCAUGCUUGCUUUGAUGCGUGUUGCCCGGAGUCUUCUCCAGAAUGAACACUUACACAUAGAACCUUACGUGAGUUUAUUAUUUCAAUCAUUUAGAAGUACACGAACUAAUGCAAAUAUGCUAGUGGUUUAUUUUCCACCUAUCUGAUUUUUUAAAAUGUUCUUCAGUUACACCAGUUGAUGCCUUCUAUUAUUACCUGCCUCGUUGCAAAAAGGUUAGGAAAUAAAUUCACCGACAAUCAUUGGGAACUUAGAAACUUCGCAGCAAAGCUAGUGGCAUCAUUAUGCAAAAGGUGAAGAUUUCUUUUCUUUUGGACUUAUACAUGCAUUUUCGUUUUUAUGAAUUUCAGGUGUCUGAUUUUUGAGUUAUAAACUUGGAUCUAUUCUUCAAAUCAUGUGUAUAUCACUUUUAUGUUAUUUCACACAUGCAAAACAUAUGGUGCAAAUGAUGUUGAAGAAUUAGUGUUGUAUUUUCAUAAUUUCUUGGUCUGUAGACCGUUUUGCCUAUGGUGAAGGGUUGCAUUGGUAUGUGUCUGUCUUUAUUAUUGUACCAAUUCCUCUGUCUUUCAUUGCAUUUCGUACUAUCUGUAAUGUCUUCUUUCAUGACUUUCAAUUUAGUCUCGAUAAUCUUUGCUACUACUCAGUAAAGGAGAAAGGAGAACAAAAUGGCUCAAUGAUCUGUGUUGUAUUUUCAUAAUUUAUUUACAAGUUAGCAGUAAAAGGUUUGGUUAUAUGGAGAAAUAAUGUAUAGCAGAGUUGAAGGAAUGAUAUAAUGAAUUGAAACAUGGAACAAUGCAGACUGUAAAAGGGUACAUAUAGGUUGCUUUAAUUCCAAAAAUGGAAAUAGUAAUAUUCACUCCAAUUUAACCAAAAUAAACUUAUCAGAAUUCCAAGGUAACAAAACUGAUUAAUAUAAUAUACAGAAAUUAAUCAUAUAAAAAUUUAUAUUAUUACUUGAUAAUAUGAAUGACCAGUAUAAUAUAAAAGUAAGACAUGUUUUCUUUUCUUUUUCUAAAUUUAAUUUAGAACCAACUUUGAGUAAAGACUUGGGAAAUUGAAUUAGCAAAAUUUCUUUCCAUGUAGUUUUUUCUCCUAUUUCUUGUUUGAAUUUAGAGCAAUACAAAAUUUUGUGGCAAGUAAUAGAAAAUGACAGUCAAUUCAUUCCAAACAAUACAAAAUUUGCAGUGGAAUUCAUAUCUUUUAGGUAGCUUCAUUGAGGGCAUAAACAAGUUAGAAUUUGCAGUCUUAAUUUGUGUGGAAUUGAUAUGAAUGUAGUGGAUGCUGCAAAUUGUUGUUGAUUUGUGUGGAAUGACUGGACAUUCUUCUGCAAUUGUUAGAAAUUGGUGUUAUUAUUAUGGAGUUCAAAGGUUAAUAUUUGAUGCUUGCAGAUUUGAGGUGGAAUGUAGAUGAACUGAAGGCUGUUUUAACUUUUGUCUUAUAAGCUAUAUAUAAACAAAUAUUAUUUUAUCUUUUGCUUAUGAAAUGUUGAAAUAGUAAGUUUAUAUUCCUUGAUUAAUAAAAAGUGAGAUGGAGAUAGUCAAACCUCAAUUUCCACAUUGAAAUUGAAUCCAACCAUUCAUUGGUGGAUCGCAUAUCUUGUAUUUUGUCAAGUUAAAAGGGAGUGAAUAGAGCACCAUUUUCUUCUUCUGCGUGGAAAAUAAGUUGGCACUAUGCCAAAUUCCACAUUCAAACAUAUAAAGGAAGCAAGACCAAGUCAAUAUCAUCAACUCUAAUUAUUUCACUUCUUUCUUUAGGGAGUUCAAAUGGUGGCCCGGAAGGAGCGAAAAUGUCACCUAGAAAGAGGGUAUCACAUAUCAAAGCACGAAAGUCGUAAUAACAAUGUUAAAAACAAGGAAGAUUGAGCCAUCAACAGUGUUAUUGUGAAACCGGUCAUAAGUUAUCGCAAUACCCAAAACUCCCAAGUAUCCCCACGACUGUUGUGAAUAUCACGAUACCAAACUUUGGGUAUCACAAUAUCAUUGAUGAGAGGAGACAAAAUAUAACAGUAGGGGUAAUCCUUUUCCAACAUGUCCCCUAACCAAAAUUAGAUGAUCAAGGACAAUUUGGUCACUAUUUUUGGAUCUGUAAUUUGCUAGAAAGGGCAAAAAAUUGGCUGAACAAAAGGCAACACUUAACAUUUCAUGGUUUUCAAUUUUUCUCUUUAUUUUUAGAGUUUUAGUUUUCUUCUCCAUAACUCUAGGGUUUAAUUCAUGUUUUCUUUGAGUUUUUCUUGGUUCCAAUAAUAGUAGUUAGUUAAGUUAAUUAUCACUGUAGCUAGGAUUUAUUGGCUCGUUUAGUACCUUUAACUCUUUGUAUUUUCAGCUUAAUCCUUGGUUUUAAUAUAAAUAAAUUCCCUUCAUCAUUAAAAAUCUAUUUUUAGGGUUUUUUUUUACAUUUCCUUUGCUACCAUUGUAAUUGUUUUCAAGCUUUUCUCAUUUUUCUCAUGUUUUCUAGUUAUGCCUAUUUUGUGUGAUUGUUGUAUUUUUGUUUGUUUAAAUAUGAUUAUGGGUAACUAAAUCUGAAGUGAAAUUUGGCAUUAUGAAAAUGUCCAACAUUGCUUGUGGAUUAAUUCAUUAAUCCAUGUGUAUGUUUUAUUUAUUCAAAUGAUUAAUAGCUAACUUGAUCCUUAAAUUAUAGUUCAAAAAGUAUUUUUUAUAUUUUUAAAUUUUCAUAAAAAUAAUUGUAACAAAAUUUAAAAAUCUGAAAAUAAAUAAAAAUUUUAUAUAAAAAAUCAAUUGGUGCAAGAAAAAAAAAUUUCCAACUACUUUUUCCACAUCCAAUCUCAUAAAUAAUCAGUCUUUGAACUUUCACAAAAAAAUAUUAAAUACCCAUUUACUUUAAUUCUGCUCGUUUUUCAUUUGCUUUAUUGAUUUAUGCUCUCUUCAUAUUAUCUUUCUUUGCCUUUUUUUUUUCUUCCUUUUUCAUGUAGAUCUGCGUCGACUCUACUAUUCUUGGAUCAUUAUAAAUAUAAUAUAUGUUUUAUUUAUAGCUGAAAGUAAAACAUUGAGUUGAAAUUUGGCAAAAAAAAAAAACUGUGGGUUUGGAGAAGAAGAAGGGCACUUCAUAUUUAAAUUUAAAAAAUUUAAAAUUCCAAAAUCGAAAGUUAGUCAAAACCCUAAACAAUCUAAUAAUUGGGGUUGUAGAAAAGAAAUAUGGUUUUAGAAAUAAAUAAAACAAAAUAAAUUUGCAAAACAAUUUCUAGGCAAAACAGCAUUAAAUUAAGGAUUAAAAUAAUUUUUUUUUUAUAAAGCUUAGAGUGAAAUGAGUUUUUGGGAAACUGAAAAAAAAGUGAAAUGGGGAUGUUUGUACUAAUACACAUGGCAUUAUUGGACAGUAGACAAUAACUAAAAUGUUGCGUUAAUUUGUUUAUUGGACAAUCUUCUGCAAUGCUUAGAAAAUUUUAAUAUAUGUUUUAUUUUUAAAAUUUUAAAAUUUAAAAAUCAAUUAAUUGUUUGUAUGAUAUCGAUAUAUAUGUCUCGUCAAUAAAGUUAACAAAUGUUAAUUUUUUAAUCCAUUUUGGGAUGAUUAAAGAAGAAGAUGCAGUUUACCGGAUAGUUUUCUGGCAGCCAUACAUACUAAGUGAAUAGACACUCACAUUCUUUACGUAUUAUAAGGAAGAAGACUAAGUCAAUCUAUUUUGUAAUCUCAUCAAUGUUAAUUUUCUCAGUUGUUUAGGGAGUUCAAAUGAAAUACAAAAUUUUGGUAAAACAAUGUAUCCAAUUUUGGGAAUGAAAAAGAUAUGGUAAAAAGGAAGUGGUUGUUGAUGAGUAUUGAAAAAUAUAGGUUUUCAAUGUCAGCAUUUCAAACUCUUCCAAUAACAAUCUUUAUACCAUAAAAGAAACAACACUGUAACAGUGGUGUUGUGGUAUUAAUCAUCAGAUCUUUUGUUUAAUAUUGGAUUUUAUUUGUUGCCUAUAAAUACCAUUCCUAUCCUUCAUCUUCCUCUACAAACAUAACAUGGCCUCCUCUCUCUCUCUGCCUAUUCCUCUUCUUUCCCCAUCUUUAUGCUUCUUCUUCAGGAUCUCACUCCUGCUCUCACCUCGAAGCUGCUUCUCUAAUCCACUUCAAGAAUUCAUUUUCGAUCACUCAGACCGACCAUGCUGCUUUGUAUUGCGAUGAUUUUGCUAGCCUUAAAUCUUAUCCCAAGACAAAUUCAUGGAAGGAGGGUACAGAUUGCUGCUCAUGGGAUGGGGUCACUUGUGACCACCUAAAUGCUCAUGUUAUUGCCCUUGACUUGAGCUGCAGUUGGCUAUAUGGCACCUUCCCAUCCAAUACCACUCUCUUCCUUCUUCCUCACCUUCAAAAACUCAACCUUUCCUUCGAUGAUUUCAAUGAUUCCAAAACUCCAUCCGAGUUCGGUCGGUUUACAAGCGUAUUCUACCUCAACCUUUCUUAUACAUGGUUAAUUUGCUGGAGAAGUCCCAUCCCAAGUCUUCCACCUGUCAAAAUUGGUUUCACUUGAUCUCUCCUGUUGGGCUAAUGAACAAACAAUUGACAAACAUGCUGUGGAGGGACUUGUUCACAACCUAACCGAGGUCAGACAUCUGUUUUUGGAUGAAAUCAACAUGUCUUCUAUUAAUCCUCAUGUCUUCACGAAUCUAUCCUCUUCUCUAAGGUCUCUCAGUCUUUCUGGUUGAGAUUUGCAAGGAAAAUUCCCAAAAAAACAUUUUGAUUUGCCAAACCUCAAUUUCCUCAACUUGGGAGGCAACCAAAACCUGAAUCUUGAUCUUUUGAAGUUCAGCCGGAGCAGCAAUCUUGAACAUUUGGGUCUGUCGUGGAUAUCCUUCUCCACCGAAUUGAUUGAUUCAGUUGGUAAUCUACAGGCCUUAAAGUACUUAGAUCUAUCAGGCAAUUCUUUCUUUCAAAGAUUCUCUGUCUCAAUCACAAAUUUAUCAUCGUUAGAGUACUUGAUUAUUUCAGAAGCAAAUAUGUGUGGAGGAUUGCCUGACUCGAUGGGGAAUCUUGAAUCCUUGAAGUUUUUAGACUUGUCAUCGAACGAAUUGAGUGGACAAAUUCCAUUGUCAAUUCUAAACCUAACGCAACUUGAAUACUUGGAAAUAGCUAGAAAUUCAUUAGAAGGUUCCAUUCCAGAUGAAGUAACCGCUUUUCCUGAUCUAAUAUCUUUAAUCUUAAUUGAAAAUCUACUCAAUGGAAGAAUAUUGCAUUUCUUGACUUAAGCUCCAAUUUGAUCUGUGGAAAUCUUCCGAUUCCAGCUUCGACGAUCAGAGUCUUUCUGAUCUCAAAUAAUAGUUUCAAUGGAGAGGUCUCUUCUUUAAUAAGCAAUGCCAGUUCUCUUCGAAUUCUUGAUUUGUCCCACAAUAACUUGAGUGGAACAAUUCUGCAGUGUUUUGGAGAUUUGAGCAACUACCUUGAAUUCUUGAAUCUGAAUAAGAACAAGUUUUAUGGGACGAUUCCUCCAACAUUUGCAAAGGGAUGCCAAUUGAGUAAUUUUCAACUUAAAUGGAAAUAUGUUAGAAGGGCCUUUGACACCCUCCUUAAUUGUAAAGGUCUGGAAGUGCUAGAUCUGGGUAACACCAAGAUCAAUGAUACAUUUCCUCAUUGGUUGGGAAGUCUUCCUCAUAAAGAAUGAGACGGAUGAACACAGAAGCGGAUCAUAAAUUUUGUCUAAGUCGUGAAUUUGACUUAGGGCACUAGACGUUUGGAAAGAAAUUUAGAUUUUGACAAAACCUAAAAUAAAAUCAAAUCAAAAUUAAAUAAAUCAAUUAAAAUAAAUAACUAAAAUAAAAAAAUAAAUCAAAGAUUACAAAUAAUAAGGAAAGAAUAAAGAAAAUAAAUAGAAAGAUAAAAUGUAAGUCUUAAGAAGACUUAGAAACACGAAGAAUCCACAACCCCAUUCAAGCAGCUCUAAUUUCACCACCAAGAUAGAAAUCUUGGCAAGAAAAAGUUAGAAGAUUAUCCCCACAAUUUGAAAAGUUUGUUAAAACUCUUCUAAAAGAACAAGAGAAAUUCUUGAAAAAAAAAAACAAAGAGAGGAUUUAUUAACUUAAAGAGAAAUAGAAUAAUAAUGAAUUGUGUGAAUUGUGUACAAUGCAAAGGCCUAUAUAUAGGCUAGCUAAAUAAAUCUAAAUAAAAGUAUACUAGAACUCUAAUUUAAUUUAAACAAAAAGUAGUUUUAAACUAAAUUUUCUUGUUAACAUAAAAUACUUAAUAAUUAUAAAAAAUUUGAAAUAAAAUAAUAAUAAAAUAAUAAGAGCUGAUAAAUACAAUAUUGGGAUCAUAUAUAAUAAAAAUUAAGUCUAAAACCCGAACCCAAUAUGAUUUAAACUUGAAUUAAAAGCUCAAAAUUUGUAAUUCCUAUCGUAAUCCCGUUCAGAAAUUUUGCUCAUGCAGUUCUCAUUAAAAUUGUCAUAACUUGAGCUCCCUAACUCAAAAUCAAGUGAUUCAAAAUGCAUUUAGAAGCUAAGAGAUAUAUCUUCAAACACGAUGAGAUAUCUUAACUCGGAAAUUUCAAGAUCCUAUCCAAAAAGUCGUCACAAGUCUAUUAAUUUCCAAAGCCUAAAAAUUGGAAGCUUUGCUGAUUGGAAUUUAAUAAAUUUCACUCCAUCCAUGCAUGUAUCAUUCUCCUUUUCCUAAAAAAGAUUCAUCCUUGAAUAUUGUAUUUGAUCGAAUUCUGAUUUGAUUGCUUAGCCUUUGACAUUGUUGUUGGACCUUGAGGUACUGUAAACCCAUUACAUUCAUGGGUUUGAAAUUGUGCCUUGAGACUCACAUCAUUCCCCUUUUCCUCUAGAAGGUUCGUCCCUAAAUCUUUAGCUUUUUCCCACAAGUAAAAUCGUCUAUAAAUGAUAGAGUAAUAUAAUUGAGAGUCCAUUAAUGGAUCCUUGAAAUCCUGUAACAAAGAAACACCACUAAACAAAUUUAAGUUAGAGUUAGUUAAAACAUAAUCAUUCCUCAAUUUUUUAUGAGUAUUUUCUUGCUUUUUAUUUUCUUUUUUCACUUGAGAUCUCUCCAAUUUUACCUCAUAUGAAUUUUACUUACCAAAUUUGGACCAUUAAGUAGACUUUUAUCACUAAAGGUCUCUUUUCUCUCUGUCUUUCCACAUGAUUUUUCCUCACUUCUCAUGUCCCCCUCACAAGUAUUAUGAAUAUUCAAUUCAGUACAAUAUAUAUCAGUAGGAGAACAUUACGUUUCUAUUUCAUCUAACUCUAUAGAUCCAGGGAAAAAAAUUUCGUUAUCACUUUUUUCUAGUUCACAAAGUUCACCAUCUUCUUUGAUCAACGAAAGUCUCGUGUUGGCACAAUCACGACUAUAAUGUCCACUCCCUUUACACGUAAAACAUUCAAUGUUACAAUGUUAAGAGCUCUUUGUUGUUUUGGUGAAAAAUUAAUAGAAUUGAGUUGCUUGAAAGAUGUAGAAGAAUGUUUUGUAGGAGCCUCACUUUUCCACUCAAAAGGUUUAGUCUCAACAUGUUUUGGCAGCAACUUAUUAGUAGCAUAAGAAUGUUUCAAAUUCUUGAAAGUAGAAUUAGAACUUGUACCUCGAUAAUAGUGUGAUGCGCCAAAUGGACGAGAUUGAUGUUGCUGAGAUUGUUGCUCAAUCUCAAUUUCCUUGUGUCCUAUCUCCUCAAGAUCAAUGUAAGUUUGAAGAUUAAGAGCAUUGGCUACCAAAAUGUUCGCACCAUGGUAGUUUCUUCAUCCUCUUGUAUAUUUGCUCUUUGCAUAAACAUCUCCAUCUCCUUAAAAUAUUCAUCAACAGAUUGAUUACCUUGAAUAAGGCGUUGAAGUCUCGUUGAGAUCUCUCUCUAUUAAUGAGAAGGAAUGUAAUGUCUUCGCAUCAUUUGCUUCAACUUAUCCUAUGUUUCAAUUACCCUUUCGUGGUUUCUUUGACAAUCAAUUCCAAGUUGAGUCCACCAACUCAACGCAUAAUCUGAAAAUCAAAGGGCCGCCAAUUGAACUUUUUCCUCUUCCUAGCAUUUAUAGUAGCGAAACAUAAGUUCAAUUUUUGAUUCUCACUCACAAUAUGCUUCGGGAUCAUACUUUACACGAAAUGGUGAAAUGUUGAUCUUCGGUUUAGCUAAAAAAUGUUGCCUAUGGUCAUUAUUAACCAAAGUCUCGUCAUUUGCAUGAGAGACACGUUGAGCAUUAUUUGCAAAAAGACGAGGCUAAUCAUCCUUAUCUUCUCAAUUACGAUUCUGACACUCAAUUUUAGUAUGUAGACGUUCUAAAUUUUUGCUAAUUGUGUCUAGAAUAGUGUCACGUUACUGAUCUCUAGCAUUUUGAACCUCUUAAUCCCUUCUCAACUUCCUAGUCAUAGUAUUGUGAAACAUUAUGAAAGCCUAAAAAGAACACAACACUCAAGAAAGGAAAAAUUAAGCAAACCUCACUGUUAUGCACUCAGAAAAAAAAAACCAAAUUCUCAAUGAGGUUAGAAUUAAUCUUGUGAGUCUUUUAAAAAGUGUCUAUAUCAAUUAGUCAGAAUGUAUUUGAAUCAAACUAUCAAAGCAAACUUAAUAGCAUUAUGAGUCAAUGAAAAUUGUUGAAACUCGAAAACCUGAAAAUUUACGAAGCAAAUUGACAAACUCCUUUUGAGGUGUUUCCAAUUUCCAAAAAUCACAAAAUUUAAAUUGGAACCUUCUAAAAUAAUGUAGAUUUGACCUGGAAAGUUUUGGCACAAAAUUCAACCCAUAGAAUAUUUUUUUAUUUUUUAUUUUUUUCAUAUUUUAUUUUAUUUUUUCACUUUUUCAAUCACUUUUUUUGUGGGAAAUACUUUUUUAUACUCUAAAAUAGUGUCAAGAAAUAGUAUGUAAAAUUUGAAAUCAUUUGAAAAUCAUUUACCGACAAAAAUAUUUUUUUUCAAAAACUGUCGGGGUAAAAAAAUUAUUUAAUUUGAGUCUGUUUCCCAGAAAUCAGUUUAUAAAAAUGAAAAGAACACCUAAAACGUCCACAUCUGAUACCAAAUGAUAAAGAAUGAGAUGGAUGAACAUGGAAGUGGAUCGUAAAAUUUGUCAAAGUCAUGGACUUGACUUAGGGCCCUAAAUGUUCGAAAAGAAAUUUAGAUUUUGACAUAACCUAAAACGAAAUCGAAUCCAAGUAAGAUAAAACAAAAUUUAUACAUGUAUAUUUUUUACACCAUAACAUAUAUAAGAUAUAAAAAUGGUAAAUUUAUAUUUGCAUUAUUGGUUUUGGUCAUUUUCUUGAAGCAGCUUGGAUCAGUGAUGUGAUCCCUUAGCACCCAAAAAAACCCAAUUAGACCUUUACCCAUUAGCCUAUCUCAACUUCCUCUUCAAUCCAGCACUCAGUCUACCCCAUGCCAGAAAACAUUUACAAACAUGGUUCCUCUUGCAUCCACACAAAUUUAAUGAAAGUUAAAUAUACAAAAUAUAAUAACUAAAUUUUUGAACAAGUGAGGAUUUUCUAUCCUACCAAACACUCUUCAGUUCCUUUAUUCCAUGGAAGCAUCUUUUUAGUUAUUUUUCCCCCCUUGGCAGCUAAUUCAAAGUUUCAACUUGAGCAGUUCUUAAAAGGAAAAUGUCAUUCCCCAUAGGUCUUUGCUAGAGGCAGGUAGAGGAGGCAAUGUUUUUUGGGCAUGGAGUAGCUUGUUAAAGAGGAGAUAUCACAAGGCAAAUUAUAUGUGUAUGAGAAUGAAACAGAGAAACAUAUAUGUAAAUAUGGAGUGAAAACUUGGUUCCAAAUCAGAUAAGGCAAAAGCCAAAUCAUGUAGGAUUGGUGGAGAGUGAACCUUUGAAGCAUUGUAUGUGGCCACCCACGUAGUCUACUAUUUAUGUUAUGUCACGACAAAAACAGCAUCCUCCUUUGUCUUUGAAAUUCGACAUUACUAAUGGAGUUCUUUUUGCACACAUGCAUUCUAUUUAUUAUUUUGAAUACAAUUCUAAUCUAGAUUUUUGGCUUUACAUUUUUUUAUUUAAUCAUCAAGUAGUCCAUGUUCUUUAAUUUUUUUUUAAAAAACUAAGUUGCAUUUCCUUUUUUUUUUUAAAUGAACGAUAUAUUGAAAUCAUUAUUGAAAUUAUAAUCAAAAUUAAUACAUGUUCUUUUUAUUAGCUUAAGGGCGUAAAAACCCUUCAAAAUUUUUAAAAAAAAAACAAGAACAAUAGCUAAGGGACCCGAUACUACCACUUGGAUCUGGAACCUACAUGCCGAUGCUCACGAUUUCGAUAGCCAUACCUGUGAUUUGGAGGAGAUCUCUCGCAAAAUAUUUAGUGCCCAUUUCGGCCAACUCUCCAUCAUCUUUCUUUGGCUGAACGGCAUGUAUUUCCAUGGUGCUCGUUUUUCCAAUUAUGAAGCAUGGCUCAACGAUCAUACUCACAUUGGACCUAGCGCCUAGGUGGUUUGGCCAAUAUAUAGUGGGCCAAGAAAUCUUGAAUGGCGAUGUGGGUGGGGGUUUCCGAGGAAUACAAAUAACCUCUGAUUUUUUUCAGAUUUGGUGAGCAUCUAGAAUAACUAGUGAAUUACAACUCUAUUGUAGAAAAAAAAUUUAAGUCCCCCUUUUUUUUACACUUAAUUGAGCAUUCAAACUUUUUAAAUGUAUCAAAAAUAUCUUUACACUUCUUAAAAAAAGCAAUUAAAUUCCUAUUUUUUUCUGCUCAAUUGGGUACUUGAACUUUCAUAAUGCAUCAAAAAGAUCUUAAUUUUUUUUUCAAAGAAACAAUUAAGCCUUUAUUUUUUUUCCCACUCAAUUGGGUACUUGAACUUUCAUAAUGCAUCAAAAAGGCCUUAAAUUUUUUUCAAAAAAGCAAUUAAGCCCCUUCUCUUAUUAAAAAUUAGAAAAAAAUAUCAUAAAAAUAAAAAAAAUUUAGAAAAAAUUACUAAAUUUUAAUACAAAUUUAAAAAUUAUUAAAAAUUAGAAAAAAAUUUUAGAAAAAUCAUCAAAAAAAUAAAAAAAAAUUAUAAAAUUUUAUAAAAAUCAUAAAAAUAUAAAAUCCAUCAAAAAGUCCUUUUAACAAUUAACUUUAACUAUUGGUCGUUAAAGUUAACAACCUCUAGUUUUUUCAAUUAAAGUCAUUAUGUCUCGCAACUCAGCGUGACAUGUAGCGAAAACAGAUAAAAAAGUAAAAAUCAAUAAAAGUUAUAGAAAAAUUAUCAAAUAUUUCUUUUGGUACAAUAAUUUUUAUAAUUUUUUUUUACAAAAUUUAUAUUUCUUUACAUUUUGUAUAAUUUUCUUAUGACUUUAUAAAAUUUUAUAAUUUUUUUAUAAUUCUAUAUAUUUUUAAAAUUUUUUUAAAAUUUUUAUAAAAUUUCACAAUUUUUAUAAAUUUUUUAAUAAAUUUUUAAUAUUUGAAUGUUUUAUAAAAAUUUAAUAAUAUUAUAGAUUUUAUUGAUUUUAAUUUUUUCUCUAAUUUUUAAUAAAAGUAGGGGCUUAAUUGCUUCUUCUUCUUUUUUUUAAGUUUGAGAGUGUUUUUGAUGCAUUUUGAAAGUUCAAGUACCCAAUUGAGUGCAAAAAAAAAAGUAGGGGCUUAAUUGCUUUUUUUGAAAAUGUUUGAGGGCCUUUUUGAUGUAUCAAAUGAAAUACAAAUUUUGAGUAAAUCAGGUACUCAUUUUUAUGAAUAAAAAUUAUAUGAAAAGGAAGUAGUGUUAAUAAUAAUAAUAAAAAGAUCAACAAUAGAAAACUAAUAAAGUAAUUUAGCCUAUGAUCUGUGCAAUAUAUUACUACAAAUGUACCGUACAAAAUAUUGAAAGAAAACUAAUAAAGAAAUCUGAAAUUUUAACAUGUUCCGCAAAUAAUGUUUAUGAUUUGCUGUAAAUUGAUAUGUCAAAUUAGGCUCUCCAUCAUACUUAAAAUUUUAUUUUCGAGCAAUUUAGAUAUCUUUGUUGCGUUUUUAUUUUGUUUUAGUUCUUUAUAUUAAUAAAUGAUUAGUGUGCAUUUUGAUGCUAUUUUAAGACCUGAGAUGGCCAAAUGGCACCCGGGGAAUCUAAUGAGGUUGGUGAGUGAUGCAGAGAGCCCAUGGUGGCCCGGAAGGAGCGAAAAUGUUACCUAGAAAGAGGGUAUCGCAUAUCAAAGCAUGAAAGUCAUAAUACCCAUAACAAUGUUAAAAACAAGGAAGAUUGAGCCAUCAACAGUGUUAUCGUGAUACCGGUCAUAAGAUAUCGCGAUACCCAAAACUCCCAAGGAUCCCUAAGACUAGAUAUCGCGAUACCAAACUUUGGGUAUCACAAUAUCAUUGAUGAGAGGAGACAAAAUAUAACGGUAGGGGUAAUCCUUUUCCAACAUGUGGAAUGGCCAUGGGAUGUGCUGUUUUCCAAACCGGUAAGGCGAAAAGGUUGGUGAAUUUGGCUGAAGACCAACAUGAGAAGAGGCGAAGAAGAAAGCCAAAAUAUAGCAAUCGCAUCAAUGGAUGAAGAAGGAUCUAGUUGGUUCAAAUGAAGUUAAAGCAUUUCUGCUGUGUCUUCAUAAUUUCUUGUUUAGUAGUCUGUCAGAAAGGUUUUCCUAUGGUGAAAAGUUGCAUUGGUAUGUGUCUGUUUUUAUGAUUGUACCAAUUCCUCUGUAAUUCAUUGCAUUUCGUACUAUUUGUAAGGGUUUAGUUCGAGUGUAACAUCUUGUAUGGUGCAACUAUGUAUGUCUUCUUACUUGAAUUUCAAUUUUUAGUAAACAUUAUACUGCUAUCACCAUAAAAAAAAUACAUGUAGAAUUACAAAAGAUUCAAUUAUUCAAGUUUGAGUUGCAUUUAUAAACAUGUGAUGAUGAGAAUUCAUGAACAAAAGGUAUGGUUUGAGCCCUUUCGCCGUAUGCGUUUAUGUUGCAUUUACCUAUAUAUCUAUCGACAAAUUUAAGAGUAAUAUUUACAAUAGCAUUGCAGAGUAACAUAUUUAAGAUUGGAUUACACUAUCAAAAGAUUGCAGCAACGAUGAGAUUAAUCCAAUUACAAGAAUUGAUAUCCUAAAUGGCUUUUAGGUACGUAGCUUCAUUGACGGUACAAACGAGUUAAAAUUUCCAGCAUUCAUGUCUUUGUUUUCCCUCAAGUAAACGUAGUCAAUACUGCAAAUGGUGUGGAAGUAUUGUACAUUGUGGCCCAAAUGUCCAAAAUUUCCACAUUGCUUGUAAAUUAAGUGAUGAAAACCAAAACUGUUUGAGGCAUCCAAUUACCCACAGAGAUAGGAAGUAAGGACGCAUGUAUAAUUAUUACCAUUAAUUAAAGCAUAUAUAAUUACAUUAAAUAUAUCACUUUUAUUUACCUCAUAUUACAUUUUAGUCACUUAUACUUGAAAUGUUACAUUUUGGUCACUUACAUUAUCGUUUUGGUACGAAGUGGUCACUCUACCGUUAAGCUCUGUUUCCUCCCUAAUGGCGAUUCUACGUGAUAGUCCAAAUGGGUUUUAAAUGCCAACUUAAAUGUUUUGCGUGGCUAUCCAAAUUAAAUUUAUUUAAUUAAAAACCUAUUUUCAUCUCAGCAACCGGACAUUCAAGUUCGCAUUUAAAACCCAUUUAGACUGCCACGUAGGACUGCCGUUAGGGAGGUAACGGAGUUUGACAGUAGAGUAACCACUUCGUAACAAAACGGUAAUGUAAGUGGCUAAAACGUAACAUUUCAAACAUAAGUGAUUAAAAUAUAAUAUAAGGUAAACAAACCUUAAAUAUAUAAAUUACUACGAUUACUAUCAAGAUAGCAUUGACCUGUUCAACAGGCGGAACCAAUAGAUCUAACCAUUUGGUGACUCUAGCAGUCGACAAGUGUGAGUGGCAGAUUGUGCAACUUGUGGCAAUAGCAAAUGGUUCCAAGACGAGGUGGGACACGGAGGCUUUGUGUAACAGGGGAAUAGAUGCACUCAAUGCUGGCGGCUGUUGGCUUGUAUUUCUCUCUAACAAUUUAAAUCACCAGCUUGCUUCAUCCAUCUAUAAAUAAGGGUCUUCUUCAGUUUCAUAAAUGCAUAGAAAAUUAACAAGCUCAAAUUCCUUCUUUUCAUAUUCAUCUCUUUCAUUUUGAAUUGCAACUUUAUCCUGCCUAAAUUCCUCAACAAUGAACCACCCAUCAGGACAGCCUCAAAAUGAACUUCCUUGGUCCGCCGGAUUCUGAGAUUGUUGCUCUGACCUGAAAACUUGUAACCCUUUCUUCUUUCUUCAAUAUCAGUUGUGUCUUUUUAAUUAUAUGAAUUAGUUUAUCAAUUAAAUAUAUGGACAUUUCAGGUUGCAUUUCAUACUGGUGCCCAUGCAUCACCUUUGGCCAGAUUGCUGAGAUUGUUGAUAAAGGGUCGACUUGUAAGUUAUUAAUUUCUAAAUUGAAAUCUUAUCAUCUUAGGUUUGCAGACAUAUAUAUAUUUAAAGAGAUAUUAUGUAAUUAAUAAUAAUGUUGAAAAACACUGUUGGAUGGUGCAGCAUGUGGGGCAAGUGGGGCAGUAUACACAUUAAUAAUGUUCAUCACCGGGUGUGGGUGCUUAUAUUCUUGCUGCUACCGAUCCAAACUGAGAAAGCAGUAUAACUUGAAAGGAGG
rnacentral:lncRNA from 1 species